rnacentral:lncRNA from 1 species
UCGUGGGUAGGGGUGGAAACGAGCCGAGCUCGAGCGAGCUUAUGUUAGCUCAAAUUCGGCUUGAAAUUAAUUUCGAGCCUAAAUCUAGGCUCAAGCUCGGCUUGAAAUUAAUUCGAGCCGAGCUCGAGCGAGCCUAAUUUCGAGUCGAGCCGAGCUCGAGCUCUAAACGAGCCGAUUGAAAUUCUCGACAUUAUAUAAUCAAUAGUUUAAUUUUUAUAAAACAUUACCUAUAAUUUGAUGUAACAUGUCCAAUAGUUUAAAAUACAAAAUAAUUGUAAGAAAUGUGAGCUAGGGUGACUGCCUGACUGGGUGAGGGUCAGAGAGAGAGAGAGAGAGAGAGAGAGAGAGGGGGGGAAAAAAUUAGGGAUUUGGAAAUUUGAAUGUUAUUAUGUUUUAGGGUUAUGUGCAGCAGUGAAAGUCUGAAAGAGAGAGUGUGUUAUGUAAAUUUAGAGUUGGGCUCAAUUGCACGGUUGUACUUGUUGGGUUUAUUUUAUGGGCAAACAAUAGUGGCCCAAAUUAAAUUAAAGCCUAUAUAUAAUUAAAAUACAUUAUAUUUAUAAAUAUUAUAUAUAUAUAUAGAGUGGGCUGGGGUGCUUUCGGAAGCACGGAGCGCUCCGUGCUUCCACUUUGUUUUCGAUGUUCGGACUUUCGAAUCGACGAUCGGCUCCGUUAGAGUUGAUCUAGAGUAUUUAAAGUACCAAGAAAUUAAAUUUUGCGAUUUUUCGAUAUCAUUUGCCUAGUGAUCGAAGGGGCUCAAAAUCAAUAAUUUUAACGGCCGUGGUGAGCCGGUUGCAAGUUUAACGGUGUAGAAAUAUCCAAAUCAUGUGAAAUUUUGAUAGAAAAUUCUUUAUACCAUAUAAAACAAGAUCAAUAACUUUGAUCUAAAAUUUUAAUGUCAUAUCAUCAUAUUUUGUGAGAUUUUUAUUUUCAGCCGUUGAUUUUGAGCCACUUCGAUCACUAGGCAAAUGAUAUCGAAAAAUCGCAAAAUUUAUUUUCUAGAUACUUCAAAUACUCUAGAUCAANAAUGAUAAAAGAGGUAAAUGUAACGGAAGAAAACUUGAUAGCAUCAAAUGCUUUGUGCUAUCGAUAGUAUCCCAGCCGGACUAUAUAUAUAUAUAUAUAUAUAUAUAUAUAUAUAUAUAGAAUUAGGCUGGAAUACUAUUAAUAGUAAAACGCUCUUUUUGCUAUCAAAUUUUUAACCUUUGGAUGAAAAAUUAUAAGGUCAGGAUGAUAUUAGUCGGUUAGAGUUGAGUGGUCCUCUUAGGGUUGAGUGGUCCCCACUGGGUUAUAGUAUUUAAUCAAAUGGUUAGAAAUAAUGAAAAGAGUUGAUCCAAAUGCUAAAAAACUGGUAGCAACAAUAGAAUUUUGCUACUAAUAGUAGCCCAGUCCAACUCUCUCUCUCUCUCUCUCUCUCUCUUUCUUUCUCUCUCUCUCUCUCUCUCUCUCUCUAUAUAUAUAUAUAUAUAUAGGGCUACUAUACUUUUAUGAGUAUAGACACCCUUGUACUCAUAAAUUUUUAACCGUUGAUUGAUGGGAUGUGUGGUUAGGAUGAUAGCGGUCAUCAUUUAAAAUAAUAGUGGUCCCCUAGGGUUGAGUGGGUAAUUGGUUGAAUAGUAUGAUCUAACGGGUGAAAAUGAUCAAUGGAAUAAAUCUAAGAGCCGAAAACUUAUGAGUAUAAGGAAGCCAAUACUCAUAAAAGUAUAAUAGAUGGACUCAUAUAUAUAUAUUCGAGCUUUUCGAGCUUUUCGAGCCUAAUUCGAACGAGCCGAGUAAUACUCAAGCUCGGCUUGAAAUGAAUUUCGAGCCUUUUAUUUUGUUCAAGCUCGGCUCAUUUAAUUUCGAGUCGAGCUCGAGCGAGCCGAAUAUCGAGCCGAACACGAGUCGAACGCGAGCCGGCUCGUUUGCCAGCCCUAGUCGUGGGGGGUAGGUGCAGUGGUAGCAAUAGCAUUGCUUAAUUCCAAAAGUGAUGGUUCACCGUCACAGAUGAUGUGGCACAAUCGGCCUGCUCAGUAAAUUUAUUUCAUUUGGAUAGCUUACAAAAAAAUAAGAUAAUUGAAAAUAUAUUUUUUUAAUUUAGAAUAUUUCAUAUUUUAUUUCUCCAAACUUUAAAUAUAUUUUUUUGUAAAUUUUAAAAACCUGCAAAUAUAUAUUUUGACUAAUCAAAAGGCACCAUAUUCUACUAGAAAAACACUAUUUUAUUUUUCUCCCGUUCAUUAUUUUUGUUCAAAGGUGGUGCAAAAGUAAUAAUUCAAUAGUAAAAAAAUUAAUAGUAAAUAAUAUUUAUAUAUUAUUAAUAGUAUAACAGUUGAACUAUAUCAAUAGAAAUAUUUAUUAUUUAGAUUUUAGGCUAGCCCAAAACUAAAAAGAUCUAUAAUUUAUAAAUUUUAACUAUUAAAUUACGAUUUUAAUAUCAUAAUUUUGAUUUAAUUUUUUACCCAAUAGUAAGGCUCAUAAGCUAACUUAUAAUUUACAAGCCAGCUCGUAUUCGAUUUGUUAAUAAAUAAAUUGGAUACAAGCUGAGUUUUUUGAGGUAAUACCGUGUCUAGUCUGAUUAGAAUUUUUUUUUUCAAUUUAGUCUUAUUCUCAAAAAAAAUAUUCUAAUUUAGCCUGAAAAUGUAUUAGAAAAAAUAAAUUAAUAAUUUUUAUAUGAAAUUAUGUGUUAAUAUGUAAGAGAAAAUUAUUUUCUCUCUCUCUCCUCUCCCAUUUUUCAAGGCCACUCUUUCUCUCUCUUCUCCCCAUCCACACAGCUCGCUCUCUCUCUUUCUCUCUCUCUCCUCCCCAUCCACACAGCUCUCUCUCUCUCUUUGUCUUUCAGCCCCCUCCCUCUCCACCCAUACGCUAGUAAAAUUCUAGAAUGCAACGGAUAUAUUGAUGACGUGGCGUAACAAAUCAAUCAAAUAUAUUCUUCUAGAGAUGUGUCCCAUCAUGAUUGUAAAAAAAUAUUUUUAUUGUACAUUUGUCUGAAAAAAAUGAAUAUGAUUGGCUUGUUAUUGAUGACGUGGUGCAAGCGUGACAGUGUAGAAUUCCUCCACCACGUCAUCAAUAACAAGCCAAUCAUAUUCAUUCUUUUCAGACAAAUGUACAAUAAAAAUAUUUUUUUAUAAUCAUGAUGGGACACAUAUUCUAAAAAGAAAAUAUUUGAUUGAUUUGUUACGCCACGUCACCAAUAUACCGGUUGCAUUCUAAAAUUUUUCCUCAAAAAGAGGUGAUGAUCAGUUGGUCCCAAUUUUAAUAACAAUAAUAAUAAUAAUAAGGACAAACUCCANUAUAUAUAUAUAGACAUAAUUCUAUAUAUAUAAUAUAUUAUUAUUAUUAUUAUUAUUAUUGCUAUAUUAUCAAUAUUAUUAUUAUUUAAUUUGACUAUAUAAUUAAUACUAUUAAACAUCUGGUAGAAUAUAACAAUCAAAAUAAGAUUUAAUUUGACUGAAGAAUAAUUGUACACUAAAUAAAAAUAAAGAUGUUAUUAUUAAAAAUAAUUGUACACUAAAUCUCAAUCAAUUAACGUAUAAUUUAAUAUAAAAAUGAUUAACUUAUCUUUUUUCUAAUUUAUGAGUAAAUUAGAAAAAAUAAUUUGAAAAAAAUUAAAUUAAUUUUUUUUUCAAUGAAUCUAGCUAGACAUGAUAUUAUCUCGAAUUUUUCAGCUUUAUAUUUUAAGAACCCGUAUUCAACUCGUACAAUUAGCCAGUGAAUAUGAAACCGCCACCGACCGACCCUAGCGCAAGUGACAAACGAUUUGAUGAUUAAUAUCCAAGAUUCCAAGUAUAAAUUUAUUUUUAUAAAAAAUAAACGAAGCGAAUAGCAUGCUAUUUUUUUCUGAAGGGUUAAUUUUACACAGGUUCCUGCAAAUAUAGUGAAUGGCAAAUAUGUUUAUACAAAAUUCAACUUUCAUAUCUUGUCACUACAAAAGUCCUGAUAUUUUUCAAAUAUGUCCCUGCCAUUAUAUAUCGUUAGAAAAUUUUAGUUAACAAUAGGUUAAAUACUUAAUCCUGUUUAGUCCUUGAUAUUUUUACCCUUCUUUUAUUAUACUGUUAUGAUUUUUGGAGGAACGUAUUUGUAAUGGCAAAAUUGAAAAUAUAAAUAAUUUUUUAAUGGUAAUAUAUCAGAGGAACAUAUUUCAAAAAUCAAAACAUCAAAACUUUUAUUAAAAUAAUAUAUAAAAAUUAAAUUUUAUAAUAAUAUAUUUAUUAUUUAUUAUAUUUGUAGGAAGAUACAUAAAAUUAAGGGUAACUUCAAAUACCCUCCUGUGGUUUCACACUUUCUCACUUUAGGAUUCUGUGGUUUAAAGUGUAUCAAGUUAGCCUAUGUGGUUUCGCACUUUUUCACUUUAGUAUCCUGUGGUUUAAAGUGUAUUAAGUUAGUACUCUGUGGUUUUAUUUUAAUUCUUUUAUUAUUGAUUUUACUAAUUUUUUUCGUUAAAGCAGUGACAAAGUUAAAACCAAAGAGUACUAAAAUGAAUAUUCGAUAAAUCUAGAUAGAGUAUUUAAAUUUUUAUAUAUAAUUUAAUAAAAUAUUAACAAAAAAUCUAACGAAAAAUAAAAUAAAAUUAUAGAAUACUAACUUGAUACACUUCGAACUGUAGAGUACUAAAAUGAUAAAGUGCAAAAUCACGGAGUGAUUUUUGAAGUUUUUUUAUAAAAUUAACCCUUUUCUGAAACCGCCCAUCUCGCUGCGACUCGGAUUCGUUAAGAGGCAUAAUAAUUCCCUACAGCGUCCGGAGAUGUGCAGUUAUUGCGAGAAGAGAAGACAAAUGAAGAGAAGCCGUCCGUCCUCGAAAGCGGCGCCGAAACUUCGUACGCGUCGCCCGAAUCAAAAACAUUUUCCACCGAUAGUCGUUUCCUCGCCUACGAGUCUACGACCCAGUCCGUCCCAGCGCAUCCCGGAUAGAUCAAGUCAUUGUCGUCACAGUUAUUAUUAGAUUACUUAAAGUAAAAUACUACUUGCAUAUUUGUCUCUCUAUUUUUUUUUUUAGCUCAUAUUUAUUUUGUCAUUAAUAAUAUGUUCAAAAAAUUAUAUUUAACUUCUCUUGAUUUAGGUUUUUUCGGAUUAAUUGUAUACAGAUUUUCGCAAACAUGAUGAAUUACAGAUAUAUUCUUAUAAAAUUUAAUUUUCAUAAGUUAUUCGUACAAAAGUCCUAAUGUAUUCAGAUAUGUCCUCCUGAUUAGCAUUCGUUACAGAACUGUUUAUUUUUUAACAGUAAAUUCGUGAAAUGAUAUUUUUGGCCUUACAAAUAUGUUACUUUAAAAGCUCUAGUUGGUAUAUGUUCGUAAAAAUACCCUCACAAAUGUCCUUUUUUUCCGUUUUCUUCCUUUUCGGACUGCCGGAGCGGGCAGCGGCGGAGCUUGCCGGAGUUACGGCCGACGAGGAUGAGGCUGAGGCCCGUAGCGACGAGGCAGAGGGCGAAGGUGCGGCCGAUUCGAAUAAAAAGGAGGAAAAGGAAAAAGGAGGAGGAAAAGGAGAAUAAGAAGAAGAAGAAGAAGAAGUAGUGGAAGAGGAAGCGGAAGAAGAAGAAGAUGAAGAGGAACAGAAAGAGGAAGAAGAAGGAAAAAAUUAUCAAUUUAUCUUAUUAAUUAAUCAUGAUUAGGUAUUUUAAUUGUGGUUAACUAAAUUUCUUUAACGAAUCCUAACGGCAGGAACAUAUCUGAAUAUAUUAGGACUUUUGCAGGAUAACGUAUGAAAGUUGAACUUUGUAGGAAUAUAUCUGCAAUCCAUCAUGUUUGCGGGGACCCGUAUGCAAUUAACUCUUUUUUUUUUUUGGUUAUUUUGUAGUUUAACAUUUUAUGGUUAUUUUACUAUUCCAUUUGAUUAUAAAUAUUUUUAAUAAAAAUAUAGAUAAAAUUAUAAAAUAAUUAAGUAAAUUUUCAAUCUUAGAAUGACAAGGUAAAAAGGAGCUAAAUCACAUGGAGUUAAAUUGAAGUUUGCUCUAAAUUUUAUGUCUCAUCUGUUCUAGAAUUUAUAAACAUUUUUAAAGUUUUGAGAAUUAAAAAAAUAAAUAAAACUGGUGAAAAAAAAUAUAAAAGUUUAGGGGCGCAAGAUUAAACCUGCUGCUCUUACAUAAAUUAAUGAUACCUCAAAAUGAUUUUUUUAAUGUCAUAUUGAAUGGCAAGAGUCUAGAAAUAAAAUGAUAAUCACGUAGUCCAUGAUCUUCGCAAAAAAAAUUUUAGUUACAAUCAAUACCAGAUGUACAACCACUUUUUGAUCGUACAGGUACAACAAAAAUUUUAGUUGCAGCCAUACCAUUUUUGUUUUCCAAACAUUGUUUAAACUUUAUUAGAGUUAGGAUUACAAUUGUUGGUUAAGGGCUGUAAUACUACGACCCCUUUGGUUCAGAUUUACGGUCUCUCUUUCGUUAUUAUAUUUAUGCACAAUAAAAGAGUGAUUAGAUAUUAUUAUUCUCAUACAGAAUAACUGUGACAGAGGAAACUCUCUUCGUAUGCAAAGCGCCCAUCUCUGCUGCUGCCACCGCUCACCAUCUCGUGUCCCCCCGCCGCCACGGGGAUUCCGACGGCCACGCGGGCCCACCCGAGCUGCGGCGGUGGAAGCGGCGGCGGGGCGAGCUGGUCCACGCAGCGGCCGAGCGCGCGCACGGCGACGUGGACGACGCCGCAGGGCCGGCGGUGGUGGUGGUGGUGGGGGGUGGAGCGGAGGGCGUAGCUGAGGCGGCGGCGGGCGGAGGCCGGACGGAGGCCGUCGAAUACGUCGGCAGAGGGGAUUCGGCAGGAGCCGAGGAGCGCGGGGCCGGCGCCGCGGCAGCAGCUCUGGGAGAGCACGGAGAGGUUUACGGCGGCGUCGGCGCCGAGGAAGGCGGGACCCACGGGCAGGAGCAGCGUGUCGCCCCACGUAGGGUUAUGCGCCCCCUCCUCGUCGAUUCGGGUCCGGUAAACAUCAUCAUCACCGUCGCCAUCGGAAUUGGAAAUGGAGAGGGCGGCGUAGGGGCGGAGGCGCUGUUGUUGCGGGAAGAGGAGGUGGAGGAAAGAGGAGGAGAAGGAGCAUGAGGAGGGGUCGGGGAGGGACUCGGCGGAGAGGACGGUGAUCUCGAGCGCGAGCUCGUCGCCGCCCAUGAUUAUAUAUAUAUAUAUAUAUAUGUAUCUAUCUAUCUAGUGCAGAAUAAACAGCUUAAUCUCCGUCGAAACAGAGAUGAUAUGAUACGAUGGACCGGUGAUAAAUAGAGGCGGCCGGACGGCAAGACUGGGCGAAAAUUCUUUUCUUUUGGCCUGCGCAGGAAGACGGCUGUAUUUUUAUACGGUGGGUGCUGUCCGGAAGCAACGCAGAAAAGGUGGUGUUGGCGGGGGGGUGGAGGGGCAGGGCGCGUGAAUUUUCCUUUUUCUGUUUCGCGCGUGGAAGUUGCACAGCCGUCGGUCGACGUGUUCCAUGCUUGGAAUUGAAAAUUCAUCGUUUAAGACAGUAGGCCACAAUACAGAGAGCAACACCAGAAUUACAAUCCAAAAUAUAUUGGAAUAUAACCUACAAUUUAACCAUUCAAAUCUCAAGUUUCAUCCGCCAAUCUUUAAAAAGGGUUAAUUUCACUUGCACCCUUCAAAAACUUAAAAAUAUUGUAAAUGUGCUGACAAAAUUUAUAAUGUUAUAAUUUAUCUUUCUAAAUAUAGAGUUCGGCUACUAUAUUCUUAUGAGUAUAGAUCUUUUUAUAUUUAAUUUAUUCAAUUUGACUAUUUUCACCUUGUUAGAUUAUACUAUUCAACCAACCACCGACUCACUCAACCCUCUGGACCAUUAUCAUCUUAACUAGUGACCACUAUCAUCCUAACCGUACAUUCUUUUAUUCAACGGCCAGGCAAAAACUUAGGAAUACAAAAGAUUUAUACUAAAAAAAGUAUGGUAGUCCGUGUCCUAAAUAUAUACAUUUUUUCAAGUCAAUAUUUGCUUGCAAACUCUGUUAAAUAUUGUAAUUUUUUUGUUGGUUUAAAAAUUAAAUUACUGACUUUAUCCUUGACCCUUGAAAGAUGUUGAAUGUUAUUGUGCGACAAAAUAUACUUAAGCCCCUCAACUAUAGUAUAUAUAGAGACCCAUUCAAUUCUCAUUUAUUUGGUUUAAAAUAAGUUCAUAAAUUAAAUUAAAUAUUUUGUUCGAAACAAGACACACCACUAGCAACUGCCUAUUAAAUCUAGAAUUAGACUACUUUCGCCCGUUGAAUAAAAAUUUUAAUUAUUUUGUCAAAUUUAACAAUUUAAUUACAUUUAGUUAAAGAUAUUAUAAAUUUAAUAGUUUUAGUAACGCAGUGUCUUGAUUUUGAACAAAAUAUUAAAUUUAAUUAAUAAAAUUAAUUUAAAUAAAAUAAAUAAAAAUUGAAUGAAUUUUUAUAUAGAAAAAAAAAUAUUGGGACCUUCUUCAAAAUAGCCGAGGGGGAUGAAUAUAUAUUUUCUCAGUUAGCCUUCAACAACUUUCAAAAAUCAGGAAGUAAAACUCGUAAUUGUAAUUUUCAUCCAACGGAGUUUACAAAUAAGGGUAAAUUUGAAAUAAAUAAAUAAAUAUAUAUAUAUAUAUAUAUAUAUAUAUANAUAUAUAUAGUUGAGCUAGGAUACUUUUACAAGUAUCACCUCCAAGGUGCUAUUAGGUUUUUAGCCAUUAGAUCUACUUCUUAAUUACUAAUAGUCCUUGGAUUAAACACUAUUUCACCUGCCACCAUCUAUCACCACUUAUCACCAUCAUCUCAACCUUACAUCUCUCCAUCCAAGGACUAAAAAUACUAAAGCACCAUCCAGGUGAUACUUGUAAAAGUAUCCUAGCUCAACUAUAUAUAUAUAUAUAUAUAGAGUUGAGCUAGGAUGCUUUUAUCACCUACAUGGUGCUAUUAGGUUUUUAGCCAUUAGAUCUACUUCUUAAUUACUAAUAGUCCUUGGAUUAAACACUAUUUCACCUGCCACCAUCUAUCACCACUUAUCACCAUCAUCUCAACCUUACAUCUCUCCAUCCAAGGACUAAAAAUACUAAAGCACCAUCCAGGUGAUACUUGUAAAAGUAUCCUAGCUCAACUAUAUAUAUAUAUAUAUAUAGAGUUGAGCUAGGAUGCUUUUAUCACCUACAUGGUGCUAUUAGGUUUUUAGCCAUUAGAUCUACUUCUUAAUUACUAAUAGUCCUUGGAUUAAACACUAUUUCACCUGCCACCAUCUAUCACCACUUAUCACCAUCAUCUCAACCUUACAUCUCUCCAUCCAAGGACUAAAAAUACUAAAGCACCAUCCAGGUGAUACUUGUAAAAGUAUCCUAGCUCAACUAUAUAUAUAUAUAUAUAUAGAGUUGAGCUAGGAUGCUUUUAUCACCUACAUGGUGCUAUUAGGUUUUUAGCCAUUAGAUCUACUUCUUAAUUACUAAUAGUCCUUGGAUUAAACACUAUUUCACCUGCCACCAUCUAUCACCACUUAUCACCAUCAUCUCAACCUUACAUCUCUCCAUCCAAGGACUAAAAAUACUAAAGCACCAUCCAGGUGAUACUUGUAAAAGUAUCCUAGCUCAACUAUAUAUAUAUAUAUAUAUAGAGUUGAGCUAGGAUGCUUUUAUCACCUACAUGGUGCUAUUAGGUUUUUAGCCAUUAGAUCUACUUCUUAAUUACUAAUAGUCCUUGGAUUAAACACUAUUUCACCUGCCACCAUCUAUCACCACUUAUCACCAUCAUCUCAACCUUACAUCUCUCCAUCCAAGGACUAAAAAUACUAAAGCACCAUCCAGGUGAUACUUGUAAAAGUAUCCUAGCUCAACUAUAUAUAUAUAUAUAUAUAGAAUUAGGCUACUAUACUAUCUAUAGUACCGGAGCUCCGGUACUAUAGAUAGUAUAGUAGCCUAAUUCUAUAUAUAUAUAUAUAUAUAGAAUUAGGCUACUAUACUAUCUAUAGUACCGGAGCUCCGGUACUAUAGAUAGUAUAGUAGCCUAAUUCUAUAUAUAUAUAUAUAUAUAGUUGAGCUAGGAUACUUUUACAAGUAUCACCUCCAAGGUGCUAUUAGGUUUUUAGCCAUUAGAUCUACUUCUUAAUUACUAAUAGUCCUUGGAUUAAACACUAUUUCACCUGCCACCAUCUAUCACCACUUAUCACCAUCAUCUCAACCUUACAUCUCUCCAUCCAAGGACUAAAAAUACUAAAGCACCAUCCAGGUGAUACUUGUAAAAGUAUUCUAGCUCCUAUAUAUAUAUAUAUAUAUAUAUAUAGAGGGGUAAUGAUUCUGUGAGAGCAUUUAUGAUAUUUCGAACCUUUGGAAGGGUACCGUUGAAAUUAGCUAGUUAGCAUUUCCUAAUACAUAUUUUUUUUUUCUUUUGUUGUUUGAGAGAUAGGUAGCACGCUACCUGUUUUGUUUAUUUCAUUUAUAAAUAAAUUUAGCUAGAAAUGUGAAUCAACUAGUAUUCGAACUUGGGUCUCGAGUAUCAACCACCAAGUCCUUUGCCACUUGCUCUAGAGACGGUUGGUUUUCCUAAUACAUAUUCGCCUCAUAAUUUUGUACACAAUGAGAGUUAUUCGGAUUCAUCAAUAGUCUCAUAUUGGAUGAAAAAAAAAAAGUAUGAUUGAGUAUAUAAAAAUCAGGCACUCGAUUGAUAAUAACCGAGCUAAAAAGAUUAAUCUUGAAUGCGAUACUCUAAUUAUAUCGAAAAUAUAUACUAUAGAUCAAAAGGAAUUUUUAAAAUUUAAAAUAUAUCUAAAAUACAUAUUCGCCUAAUAUAUAUUUUUUGAUAGUAUGUUUUAAAUUUUAAAAUAUACUAUUGAAAAUAUAUACUAUAUUUUUAAAUUUUAAAAUAUAUACUAUCGAUCGCCAUUUUAAAACAUUGGAAGGAAAUUUUUAAAUAUUUUUAAAUUUUAUUUCUAUUUGUUGAUCUUUUUUAAUAUUUUGUACCUGACGGACUAAAAUUAUUUAUGAGAAUGAAAACAGUCAAAUAUAUUCAAAUGUUUUGACAAAAAUAUAUGCACAUUCAUAUACUUCCUUGGAUGUGAAUUCGGAUGCGCAUAUAUGUCAAAAACUAAAUUUUUAUUAUCAUAUCUGCUAAAAAUAAAUUUGGAUUCAUAUAUGAUUCGAAUUUGUGUUCGAAUAUUAUGCGGAUAAUAAUAUAUACUAAUAUAUAGAUAUGAACUAGAAUUAGUGCAAAUAAAACAUAUAAUGCAAUAAAGGUUAACAUUUGUGACUUGUGUUAAUGUCACGCCCCGGAUGUCACGUUCCCCGGGCACGCCGACAAAUCCGCCGUAUACAAAGAAAUUUUUCCUGUAUACGAAACGACAUCAGUACCUGUAAACCAAUCACUACUACGAACAGUAGUAGAGAGCUGCUAGAGAAAACAGAAGCUAAACAAACUGAGUUUCAUAUACAUAGUCCAAAUCCAAAAUACAGAGCUACUCGCACUGGCGAGUUAAGUCAACUAUGUACAUAAACUCGAAACAAUACAUCUAUCUGCAGUAGGGGCACCUCUAACUCAGCACGUCGGUAGGGCUCUAACUCGCGACGCCCUUGCCUCGAUUAUGGUCCGCGGAUGGUGCAGCAGCCGGAACCUGUGGCUCUGCAAAAACAUAGGUAACAACUGGGCGUGAGAACUACUGUAAAAAUAAGUAGUCUUCAGUGGGUACCUCCCAAACCAAUAUCGGUCCACCCACUAAGUCUACAGAAGGGAGUAAGAGUAGUCAGAAAAGCAGGAAAAUAACUCUACCGCUACCGAUCACUACACUAUCAUACUCUACACUAACCAACUGUAGGAAAUGUCAACUCUGGCCCAAUCCAAUCGGGACUGUAAAAAUACCCGUCCCCGGGACUGUGAAUACACCCGCCCCUGCCCCGUUGCGACUAUCAAGCUCUAUCCACACUAACUGGUCCGUGGAGAACAAGUCUAACUGGCAUGAGCGACACCAACGCGAAAGCACAAAGCCUGACUCCGGAGUGGCACUCGUGGGCCCUACCCAACCGAGUAUGUAGCGUAUCUCUGUCUAGCUCAAUCAGGCUACAACUAGCCAAAGUCAAGUGAACAGGGUCAAAACAGGUCUACAAACCAAACCCACGUGCCCUCGGCACAAUCUGUGACCAAAACAAGAAUCUGGGUCCACCGCUAACCCGAACGGCACCCAACGACCCGAAACAGCCUAAACUCUGCUGAAAAAUAAGCUCGGCAUCCCAGCACGAGCGUAAAUGCCUUUUAAACUACCCCAGGUAUCCAUCGCAACGAUACUGCAACGAUACAAUCGAAUCACGGCUCCUAGAGCAAAAUCUCGUAGUUUAAGCAUAUGACGAUUUCAAUCGUGUUUUCUCCUAAGUCAAAUCUCAGUCCAACAUGGACAUUUAAGAUUUACUAGUCAUGUUCUCAAUACUGAUUAUAUCCAGGAUAGCAUCACGAAUAUCAAGCUACAACAUGAUUACCGAAACUAAAAAUCAUACAUGUCGACAAUUACGGUACUUAGGAAUAAACCGAUGUAAACCCACCUCGAAAGCUAUCCCCUGGCAGCGGUACACUCUCACAGCUGUGGCGCCACCUGCUGGGUCGAUCGUAGCCCUUCGAACCCAAGAAUCGUGCUAACUCCAAGCUCUACACCAAACAAUUCACCGUUUCACUCUAGUUUUCGCAGUAGUGGAGUACAACAAGGAUUCGACCAAGCUAACUUUCACCAAAAUUCGCAGGUAAGGGCUUCGUGGAUUCCUCUCGAAGUCCGGAAUCCAGCGAACCAAGUCUCGUCGCAAUCCAAUGCUCUUACGUCGAGAACGAGCUGAAAUACUAACAGUCGACGUUGGAUUUCAGCAAACAACAACUAUCCAAGUAGAAAUAGUAAACACUUGCCCAAAAAUCAAGAAAAACUGAAAUACCCACCUCGACAACGCCGAGCACCAGAGUGACGGCAAGAACGGUGAAAAUCCCUGCUCACCCGGUCUCCACGCGCUACCCCGGCGUCAAACACAAGCUCGAACGGCCUCGCGACGCGACGUCGGCGACAAAACUCCAACCGAGCUCCUCCGUAGCCUAAGAUCGGUUUGGGAGUGAGAGAGAGGAAGUAAUAGCAGAGGAACUCCCUCUCUCUAUCCUCACAAGGCUAAAUAGAGAGAGGGAGGGCUGGUGAUACAAACGAGGGAGAGAAAAGACCAAAACACCCUCUCACCUACCCUGGUGUACCGGUACACGGGAUAGCGUACCGGUACAGGAAGCCAACCCGAGAGCAGUACGCGCUCAGCCAAUGUAGUGUACCGGUACACCUCGCUGGCUGUACCGGUACAGCAAAUAGAAAAAUCUGCUAUUUUGCAAAUUUCUUCACUGAAAGCUGCCCUUGCGUCGCACGGAGUCCGUUUUGCGUCUAUUUGACGCCAACGCGACUCGGAAUUGUCCCGACACUCUCCAGAGCUGUCGGCAAGCCUCCACAAGUGAACACAAGGGAUCUCACAUCCUCCCCCCUCUAUAAAAAGUUUCGUCCGCGAAGCUGAAACAUACCUCUACUCAGGCAUCAAACAGGUAGGGGUAAGCUUCCCUCAUCACCGUCUCAGGCUCCCAAGUUGCCUCCCGCUUCUCAUGAUUACUCCACUGCACUUUCACAUACGGAAUGACCCGGUUGCGCAAUUCUUUCGUCUCUCGAGCAAGAAUCCGCAAUGGUCGCUCCUCGUAUCUCAGAUCCUCGCCAAUCUCGAGUGGAGUGAAGUCAAUCACGUGAGAGGGGUCGAAAACGUAUCUCCUCAGUGCUGAGACGUGGAAAACAUCAUGGAUGCCAGCAAGUCGCGGGGGUAGAGCUAUCCUGUAUGCAACUGGUCCGAUACGCUCCAAUACCUCGAAAGGGCCAACAAACUGUGGACUAAGCUUUCCACAUACUCCAAAUCGGCGUAUCCCUCUGGACGGCGAGACUUUGAGAAAAACAUGAUCUCCAACCUGAAACUCCAAGUCUCGUCUCCUGGUAUUGGCGUAGCUCCUCUGUCGGCUCUGUGCUGGCAAAAGGUGUCGUCGGACGACUCUCACCUUUUCCUCAGCCUCAAGUAAGAUCUCUGGUCCAAGUGUCCUCCUCUCACCCACAUCGCUCCAGAACAGAGGGGAUCGACAUCUGCGUCCAUACAACGCCUCAAACGGAGACAUCUGAAUACUCGCUUGAUAGCUGUUGUUGUACGCAAACUCGACUAGUUUCACAUGUCGAUGCCACCCUCCUCCAAAAUUCAGGACGCAUGCCCUCAGCAUGUCCUCUAGGGUCUGUAUGGUCCGCUCUGACUGACCAUCUGUCUGUGGGUGGAACACCGUGCCAAAAUGCAGCUGUGUACCCAAGGCUAUCUGCAAACUCCUCCAGAAAUGUGCUACAAACCUCGGGCCUCUGUCUGAUAUAAUCGACACUGGCACGCCGUGCAGCCUAACGAUCUCAUCUAAGUAUAGCUGCGCGAGUCUCUCUCUGGACCAGGUAGUCUGAACCGGUAGGAAGUGAGCAGACUUGGUCAGUCUGUCCACUAUCACCCAAAUCGCGUCGUAGCCACCCUGCGCUCUAGGCAAUCCAACAACAAAGUCCAUAGUGAUGUACUCCCACUUCUACUUGGGCACUGGCAGACUCUGAAGCUUGCCAGCAGGCACCUGAUGCUCGGCCUUCACCUGUUGGCAAGUUAAACACUGAGCCACAAAUCUGCCAAUGUCUCUCUUCAUUCCAGGCCACCAAAACCGUGCCUUAAGAUCAUUAUACAUCUUGGUUCCCUUAGGGUGAACCGUAUAAGGGGAACAAUGAGCUUCUCUCAGAAUAUCCGCUCGAAUCUCAGGAUCCACAGGCACACACAGUCAGUCCCUGUACCGUAGUACUCCCGAACUGUCCAAAGCAAAUCCCUCAGCCUGCCUCCUAUCUAGCUGCUCUCUAAUCCUCAACAAGUACGGAUCUCCACUCUGUUUCUCUCGGAUCCUAUCCAACAGAGUGGGCUGCAACACUAGAGAUGUCAGCCUCGCUGUAGACCCAGGGGGUACUAUCUCGAGUCCCAGCCGCUGUAGCUCCUCAAGUAGGGGUCUCUGCUCAGUAAUCCUCAAACUCAGGCUCUGUACUGACUUCCUGCUCAACGCAUCUGCCACCACAUUCGCCCUGCUGGGAUGAUACUGAAUACUAAUGUCAUAGUCCUUCAGUAACUCCAACCACCGGCGCUGCCUCAGGUUCAACUACCUCUGUGUGAACAAAUACUUGAGACUUUUAUGAUCGGUGAAGAUCUCGCAAUGCUCGCCGUACAAGUAAUGCCGCCAGAGCUUCAAAGCAAAUACCACCGCGGCAAGCUCUAAGUCAUGCGUAGGGUAAUUUUUCUCAUAAUCCAUUAAUUGCCGUGAAGCAUAGCAAUCACCCUACCAUGCUGCAUCAGCACGCAACCAAGUCCACUGUGCGAUGCAUCACUGUAGAUCACAAAUCCAUCCCCCAUCACCGGAAGGGCAAGGAUAGGAGCCGACGUCAACCUCAGUCUCAACUCGUCAAAGCUCCUCUGACAGUCGUCGCUCCAGACAAAACGAAUCCCCUUCCGCGUCAAGCGUGUGAGGGGUGUGGAAAGCUUCGCAAAGCCUUCCACAAACCGACGGUAAUAUCCUGCCAGUCCCAGGAAGCUCCGUACCUCAGUCACCGUCGUCGGUCUAGGCCAAUCUCGAAUCGCCUCAAUCUUCUUCGGGUCCACUGCUACGCCCUCAGCUGAAAUCACGUGGCCCAAGAAAGCAACCUCCCGUAGCCAGAACUCGCACUUCUUUAACUUGGCAUACAACUUCUUCUCGCGCAGAAGCUGUAGCACAAUCCUCAAGUGCUCCUCAUGCUCAGCAUCACUCCGGGAGUAAAUCAGGAUAUCGUCGAUGAAGACUACCACAAACCUAUCCAAGAACGGCUUGAACACUCUGUUCAUCAAAUCCAUGAAUGCGGCAGGGGCAUUCGUCAAUCCAAAAGGCAUCACCGUGAACUCAUAAUGCCCGUACCGAGUCCGAAAAGCCGUCUUGGGAACAUCCUCGGCCCUCACCCUCAGCUGGUGGUAACCUGACUGGAGAUCAAUCUUCGAGAAGACAUAAGAUCCCUGCAGCUGAUCAAACAAAUCAUCAAUGCGCGGCAAGGGAUACUUAUUCUUGAUGGUCACUUUAUUCAGCUCCCGGUAAUCCACACAUAACCUGAGCGAACCAUCCUUCUUCUUUACAAAUAACACCGGCGCUCCCCAAGGCGACACACUGGGUCUCACAAACCCUCUAUCCAUCAGAUCCUGAAGUUGCGCCUUUAGCUCUCUCAGCUCUGCCGGUGCCAUCCUGUAAGGUACCUUUGAGAUUGGUGCAGUUCCAGGAACUACAUCAAUCACAAACUCAAUCUCCCUCUCCGGCGGCAACGUCGUCAACUCAGGGGGAAACACAUCCGGAAACUCGCGGACUACUGGGAUGUCCUCGAGUCCCGGCGCCGCCGUAGGUACCUCCACAACUGUCGCUAGGAAAGCGAUACACCCACUGCUCAGCAUCUGUCGAGCCCUCGCCGAAGAUAUCCAGGUGGCAAACAGCGUGCUCCUGCAGCCUCUGAAAGUAAACUCCUCCUGGCCUGGCUCGCGGAACGUCACCGUCCUCGCUCCACAGUCGAUCGUAGCAUAGUACCGCGCCAGCCAAUCCAUACCGAGCACUACGUCGAAGUCCUGCAGCUGCCCUAACACCAACAGGUCUGCGGGCAUGAUCCAAGAGUCUAACUGCACCGGACAGGACCAACAACACUCUGUAACCUGCAAGACAUGGUCGGGGAUCUGCACCUCUCGUGCCUGAGACAACGCUCCUAACUCUAGACCAUGCAACAAUGCAAAUGCUCGGCUAACAAAGGAAUGCGAUGCACCGGUAUCAAAAAGAGUGCGAACUCUAAUGCCAGAAAUCAAAGUGAUACCUGCCACCACUCGGUCGGCUGCUGAAGAGUCCUCCACCUGAGCUGCAUAGACCCUGCCACUCGGAGCCUGCUGUCGCCGCUCACUCGACCGCGGCACAGACGAUCUGUCCUCCUGGCGGUAGCUCGGUGCUGCUCCGUAAGACUGCUGUGGUGCUGGUGGUGCCGAAGCUGAUGACGGUGCUGGAGAUGCUGCUCGGGGACAAGCUGCCCUCAUGUGUCCCGGCUGACCACAUCCGUAGCACCUGCCCUCUCUCUGCUCGCACUGCCGAGGCCAGUGUGGUCCCCCGCAGAUCACACACUGUGGCGUCCUCUGAGUCUGCCCCUGCUGACGGGAUCCCCUGGAACGCUGACGCCCCGAAGACCCACGACCCUGAGAACGUGAUCGUGGAGGUCUCGGCGGACGUCUGCUGCUCGACUGCCCUCCGUCAUCUGGAAAGGGGCGCUUCCUGUCCUGACCCUGCCCCACGGCCUGAGUCCUCUCCUGCAGCGACACCUCACCUCUCUCCACCCAUAGGGCCUGCUCUAUGGACGCAUCCAGGGUCCUCGACCUCUGCGCCCGCACUAACCUGAAGAUGUCCGGUCUCAGCCCCUGCUCGAACAUGUAUACCCUGUGCGCCUCCUCUCUGGCCGCAAAUGGUGCACAGUUCAGGAGUCGAGUAAACUCCCGAACGUACUCUUGUACUGGGCGAUCUCCCUGCUGAAGCCUCCUCAAAUCCUCCUCGAGCUUCUGCUUCACACUCUUGGGAAAGAACAUCCCAAACAACAUUCCACAGAACUCAUCCCAACUCAGCUGCGCCGCCACUAGCCCCUGGUCUCGCCUCACUCUCCGCCACCAGUCAUGAGCAUCACUUGCUAGACAGUGUACUCCCAGGGGUACCUGCUCCCCCUCCGAAAUGAACAGAUCCUCAAAUAGCUUCUCCAUCGCACUGACCCAUCCCUCAACAACCCAGGCCUCAGUGCAUAUGCCAUCAAAAAUCGGUGGAUCAAAUCUGUGAAAACGAGCCAACCUCUGCGUCCACCACUCCUGCUCGGCCUCAGUCAACUGUACUGGGCCCUGAGCAAGCGCAACUGGCGCUACUGGAACUGCUGUUGGCGGAGGGACUGCUGCAGCUGGUGCUGUCACUAGAGUAGUAGGGGGUGGGACUAGCGACUCUGGUACUCUACGUGCGGAACUCGGUGACUGCGCUACCCUCUCACACAACCUUUGCAACAACUCCCCCUGCUGCCUCAUCACCUCGGUCAAGGCAGCUAACUGUGCACUCAGAUCAGGGGGUGCGCUAGCCUCAGGUCGCGCACUCGGCUCCACAACAGGCGGUGCACUCGCCUCCGGUUUGUCACCAUGCUCCUGCCGAGUACUCUGCUCCAUCUGCUCAGAUCUCUCAGAAGGUCCAGCAUGAUCCCGCGCCAACUGGGCACGCUCCCGCAACGACGGUCGACCUCGGCGACGAUACAUAGCUGAAAGGAACAGAUCGGGGUCAGUUGAAACACAAACACUCUUGACCAAAUCAACGAAAGUUUGGAAGGCGGUCCCUGUUUCCCUCCAAAAUUAUGUCGUCUGCAGCCAAUAUAAUUUCUCAGGCCAAAACAGAAACUCCUUCAGUCACUCACUCUACUGUAAGAGGAGUUAGAACAAAUAAUCAUUGACUUUCACAAUUAAAUUACGUCUCUCGCGUCUUAUUUUCCUAAGGUUUGCCAAACUUAGGUUUCCUAGGUCCCAACGACCUACAGCAAAGCUCUGAUACCAACUUAAUCUGUCACGCCCCGGAUGUCACGUUUCCCGGGCACGCCGACAAAUCCGCCGUAUACAAAGAAAUUUUUCCUAUAUACGAAGCGACAUCAGUACCUGUAAACCAACCACUACUACGAACAGUAGUAGAGAGCUGCUAGAGAAAACAGAAGCUAAACAAACUGAGUUUCAUAUAUAUAGUCCAAAUCCAAAAUACAAAGCUACUCGCACUGGCGAGUUAAGUCAACUAUAUACAUAAACUCGAAACAACACAUCUACCUGCAGUAGGGGCACCUCUAGCUCAGCACGUCGGCAGGGCUCUAACUCGCGACGCCCUUGCCUCGAUCCUGGUCCGCAGAUGGUGCAGCAGCCGGAACCUGUGGCUCUGCAAAAAAACAUAGGUAACAAUUGGGCGUGAGAACUACUGUAAAAACAAGUAGUCCUCAGUGGGUACCGCCCAAAACAACAUCGGUCUACCCACUAAGUCUACAGAAGGAAGUAAGAGUAGUCAGAAAAGCAGGAAAAUAACUCUACCGCUACCGAUCACUACACUAUCAUGCUCUACACUAACCAACUGUAGGAAAUGUCAACUCUAACCCAAUCCAAUCGGGACUGUAAGCAUACCCAUCCCCGGGACUGUGAAUACACCCGUCCCUGCCCCGUUGCGACUAUCAAGCUCUAUCCACACUAACUGGUCCGUGGAGAACAAGUCUAACUGGCAUGAGCGACACCAACGCGAAAGCACAAAGCCUGACUCCGGAGUGGCACUCGUGGGUCCUACCCAACCGAGUAUGUAGCGUAUCUCUGUCUAGCUCAAUCAGGCUCCAACUAGCCAAAGUCAAGUGAACAGGGUCAAAACAGGUCUACAAACCAAACCCACGUGCCCUCGGCACAAUCUGUGACCAAAACAAGAAUCUGGGUCCCCCGCUAACCCGAACGGCACCCAACGACCCGAAACAGUCUAAACUCUGCUGAAAAAUAAGCUCGGCAUCCCAGCACGAGCGUAAAUGCCUUCUAAACUACCCUAGGUAUCCAUCGCAACGAUACUGCAACGAUACAAUCGAAUCACGGCUCCUAGAGCAAAAUCUCGUAGUUUAAGCGUAUGACGAUUUCAAUCGUGUUUUCUCCUAAGUCAAAUCUCAGUCCAACAUGUACAUUUAAGAUUUACUAGUCAUGUUCUCAAUACUGAUUAUAUCCAGGAUAGCAUCACGAAUAUCAAGCUACAACAUGAUUACUGAAACUAAAAAUCAUACAUGUCGACAAUUACGGUACUUAGGAAUAAACCGAUGUAAACCCACCUCGAAAGCUAUCCCCUGGCAGCUGUACACUCUCACAGCUUUGGCGCCACCUGCUGGGUCGAUCGUAGCCCUUCGAACCCAAGAAUCGUGCUAACUCCAAGCUCUACACCAAACAAUUCACCAUUUCACUCUAGUUUUCGCAGCAGUGGAGUACAACAAGGAUUCUACCAAGCUAACCUUCACCAAAAUUCGUAAGUAAGGAUUUUGUGGAUUCCUCUCGAAGUCCCGAAUCCAACGAACCAAGUCUCGUCGCAAUCCGAUGCUCCUACGUCGAGAACGAGCUGAAAUACUAACAGUCGACGGUGGAUUUCAGCAAACAACAACUAUCCAAGUAGAAGUUGUAAACACUUGCCCAAAUAUCAAGAAAAACUGAAAUACCCACAUCGACAACGCCGAGCACCAGAGUGACAGCAAGAACGGUGAAAAUCCCUGCUCGCCCGGCCUCCACACGCUACCCCGGCGUCAAACACAAGCUCGAACAGCCUUGCGGCGCGACGUCGGCAACAAAACUCCAACCGAGCUCCUCCGUAGCCUAAGAUCGGUUUGGGAGAGAGAGAGAGGAAGUAAUAGCAGAGGAACUCCCUCUCUCUGUCCUCACAAGGCUAAAUAGAGAGAGGGAGGGCUGGUGAUACAAACGAGGGAGAGAAAAGACCAAAACACCCUCUCACCUACCCUGGUGUACCGGUACACGGGAUAGCGUACCGGUACAGGAAGCCAACCCGAGAGCAGUACGUGCUCAGCCAAUGUAGUGUACCGGUACACCUCGCUGGCUGUACCGAUACAGCAAGCAGAAAAAUCUGCUACUUUGCAGAUUUCUUCGCUGAAAGCUGCCCUCGCGACGCACGGAGUCCGUUUUGCGUUUAUUUGACGCCAACGCGACUCGGACUUGUCCCGACACUCUCCAGAGCUGUCGGCAAGCCUCCACAACUGAACACAAGGGAUCUCACAGUUAAAACUUCUUAUACCUAUAUUUUAUUUAAUAAAAUUUAAUACACUAUACAUUAACAUCCCAUUUAUCUCCUGAGGGUGAAAAUGUUCAAUAUAAUCGGAUUUAUAAAGACACCAUAUUCACAUUCACAUUUUUUUUUUAAAAAAAAUUCAAAUACAAAUUCGGAUAUGAAUAUGUGUUGAAUGUUAAAUUUUGACACAUUCGUACUCGUAUUCUACCGAAGCCGGUGUUGAAUUCAAUUGGAGUUUAUCUAUGUUAAAUUAAUAACAUAAAAUAAAAUAAAAUAAAAAAGGUCAAACAAAAACUAAAAUAAGGAUUUUAUGUAAAUUAAUUAAUAUGAACAAUGUACACAGUGCAAGCAUGCAAGAUUCAGUACUAUAUGAUUCAUAUCAUUCUGUUUUUUCUUUAUAAGAGUAGGCAACUUAGGUUGGUUGAUCGUGUUCGUGUUCGUGUUCGUGUUUAGGGUUUAGGUUGGUUGAUCUUUGUUCGUGUUCGAUAAUCAAAUUAGUUAAUCAAUUUUAGCCAUGCUCGAAUGCUUCUAACUUUAUUUAAAAUGAUAAAGUUAGAAUUUUUUCUUUUUUUUCGUGUUAGAUAGAUUCAUGCUGUGUUGAUUGCGAAUUUUUCACAAUAAUUACAUAUCAUGCUCAUAGUGACAAGAUCUAUAAAUUCCCAUAAAAAGUCCCCACAUCUCUAAAAGUGAAAUUUAUUUUAUAAUUAAAGUCUCUUUGUUGACUAAUUAGCCCUAUUUUAUUUUAAUAAAUAAAAACUGCCUUUUGCUUCAAUAUGAUCACACCUUUUAAAAUAUUAUAAACUUGAAUUCCAAAUAAGAAAACAUCAAUUAAAAUAUAAAAAAAUUACACUUUUUUCCAAAAUAAGUGGUUUGAGUGAAAAAGAAAAUUUUAAUCUCAUGUCGCCUUCAUGCAUCAUGUCCAAAAUAUAAAAAUAUGUUCAAAAUAAUUGUAAUAUAUGUUUUCAUGCAAUAUUUAUUAACAAUUAUAUUUAUUAUUUUUUUUAUAUUUUAUAUUUUUAUUUCUCAUUUUAUACUUGGUUCUUUAAUUUUCUUUUUUAAAAUCCACCACUCAUCAUGCUCUGAUAGGAAUAAGUGCUUUUAAAAACAAAAUUCAAUAUUUUUUUUGAAUCGGCCACUCACAUAGCAAAAGCAUCACAAUAAGUGCUUUUAAAAGUGUAGAAGUAUCUUAUUUUUACGGUAUUUUCAAUUGUCGCAUACGCAAAUCAAUGAUCGAAAUGUUUAAACACGAUCUAGAAUAUUUAAAUUAUAUAUAAGUAUUAAAUUGUAGAAACUUUCGGACCACGAUCAUGAUCAUGGUCAUGAUCCGAUAGUCUCUGAUCAAUUUUCGCAUCAAUUUUUUUUUUUAUUUUUUUUAAAAAAUUAAUUGGACUCUCGACUUUGACAUCAAGAAUAACAAAUGCUCUAAAAAAACAGUAGAUGUUACAUGCAAGACCGAAGUGAUAAUAAGUAUAUAAAAAAAUAUUAAAAGACCCGUUAAAUUGGGCUUGAUAUGAUGAAAAUGCACGUAGAAGAAAAGAUUAGGGACCAAAGCAACAAAAUAAAACUGUUAAAGGUUAAGGAUCAACAGUGUUAUAAAUAGAGAUGUCAACGGGUUGGAUUUGGGACGGAUUUUUAAAAACCCGAACCCGAACCCGACUCCAAACUCGAGACCUGAACCCGAACCCGAACAAGAUGGAUUUUAAAAAUCCAUAUCCAAACCCGAACCCGACAAAAAAAUCCAAUACCCGAACCCGAACCCGAACCCGAACCCGAACCCGAAAUUUGAACCUGAAACAAUUAUUUCUUUUUUCAAUAUUUCAAAAUAUAUUACAUUAAAUCUAAAUUUUUAAAAUACAAAUUCAAAUAUAACAUCAAAUUUUUAUAUAUAUAUAUAUAUUAUAUAUAAUACAAAAUAAAUUCGGGUUCGGGUCGGGUUCGGGUUCGGGUUCGGGUUCGGGUCGGGUACAAUCAAAAUCCAUAUCCGAAUCCAUAUCCGUCGGGUUUCUAUUUUUGAUAUUCAUAUUCGAAUCCAUAUCCAUAUCCAUGGAAAAUAUCCGUUUCAUUCGAAUUAGGAUUCGGAUAAAAUUUUGGGUAUCCAUACCCAUUGACAUCCCUAGUUAUAAAUUCCAAAAGUUAAAAAUAUAAUGAUAAAAAAUAAAAGGUUGCAAACCAAAAUAAAAAGUGGGGCUUUGGUUGGGGACCAAUGGUUGCAAUUAACCCAAACUUUAAAUUAAAAAAAAAGUUUAAAGUAUAAAGAAUUUAUCAUUUAUAACUAAUUUUGGUAGAGAUCCCUCAACUAUUUUUCUCCAUUGUUGAUUCUUAUAGUUAUAAAUUACUUUUAUUAAUUAAGUUAAUGAUUCUAUCAACUGUAUCAUGAUUUUGUUAAAAUUGUGUUCUUUUAGCUAUCGCAAGUUCCGUUAAAACUAACUGAGCAUCUUAAUUUAGGCGCCUAAUUAACUGGUUUCAAUUUGGUCCUCGAACUUAUAAAAUUUUUUUAAAAAAAUUAAAAUUUAGAAGUAUUUUAUUUUAGUCAUUAAAUGUAAGGAAAAUUUAUUACGCGCAUUUCAUUCAUCUGUAAGUUUAUUUACUAGAAAUAAAUCAGCCCUCUACUCAUCUUACACUUUCACACUCUGUGUGACGGUCCUAAAUUUCAAAAUUCAUAAAAAUUUUAGGGAAAACUUCAAAAACCCCCCUUGUGGUUUCGUGCAUUCUCACUUUGCUACCCUGUGGUUUAAAACGUAUCAAUUUGCCCCCCUGUGGUUUCGUUUUUAUCUUUUUGUUAUCAAUUUUAUUAUUAUUUUUUUUUAAAAUCAGUGACAAAGUUAAAAUUAAAGGAUACUAAAGUGACUAUUUGAUAAAUAUAGAUGGUUAUCUGAAGUUUUUUGUAUAUAAUUUAACGAAAUAUUAACGAAAAAGCUUCCGAAAAGAUAAAAAUGAAACCACAGGGGGGUAAAUUGAUACGUUUUAAACCACAGGGUAGCAAAGUGAGAAUGCAUGAAACCACAGGGGGGUUUUUGAAGUUUUCCCAAAAUUUUAUUUCUAGUUCACUUUUGUUUGGUACCAUAAUGAGUCAGUGAAAAUUCAAGUCACUCAAAAGAAUUUUGUGGAAUUUCUCACAUUACAAACAUCUCCUAUAUUUCCAAUUUUCAUCAUUUGAGGUUAGAGUUGGUAAGAAUUUAUUUAAUAUCAAAUUAUUUUUCAUCAAGAAUCUCCUACUAGCUAUAUAACUCAGUAGAAAAUGAAAAAUGUAAUCAAAUUGAAAUGAUUUGGCUCUUGUUAUUAAACAACAAAAGGAAUAGAAUUCAGUUGAACUUUAAUAAAAUCAAAAAAAAAAAAAACUUCAAAACUAUGUAUCAUGGACACUUUUAUAAGCCUCGCGAAUCUGUUUCAAAAUCGUGUCCGAUGCAGACACGUCAUGGAUACGCGUUCGAUGUGAAUAUAUAGCGCAUCCCAUUAAAAAAUAAUUAUUUUAUUUUAUUUUUUUCUGCGUACAUAAUAAUAUAAGAUGAUAAAUAUUUUGACUUUUUGAUGAAUGUAUAUAAAAUAUAAAGAUGUCCGUGGACCGGAUCGGGUCUGGGUAAUUAAUAUACUGUAUCCAUACCCUAAAAAGAAAUGGUUACAAAAAAAUAUAUAUACCCUACACAUUUAACUUCAGGUCGGGUCCGGAUCUGGGUACUAAAGUUACUAAUAUAUCCAUCAGGUCUAUUUGAGCGGGUCUGGAUAGUGACUAUCCGUAUACUACCCGUUCAAGACCGGAUAUGGAUCGGUUCUAGAUCGGGUACGGAUAUCCGUAUAAAUAUAUAUUUUUUUAUAAACUUUAUUAAAUAGUCAAUAGACAAACUGUAAAGCCCACUAUAAAAAACCUCGCAUUCUAAUAAGUUGUACCGUCCAAUAAAAUUCAUUCAAAAAAAAUAUUGUCGCUGAUGAUGAUGAUGACACUGAUGAUGAUGAUGACAAUAAAAUAUUGUUGGCGAAAAUGAAAUGAAAAAAAAAAGAGUAGAAAACAAAUAGUAAAAAAAUUAGAAAAAAAUAAUGAGUAAAAGAGACGACUAGGGUUUCAUUAGGAUGAAAAUACGUAGUAACUCAUCAUCUAUAAGUUCGGGUCCGGAUUUGAAAACUAUUCCGGACCCUAUACAUUUAAAAGUUAAGUUCGGGUCGGGUCCAAAUCGGGUAUGGGUAUAAAAUAUUCGGAUCCAUACCUGAAACUUUAAUGGGUAAUUUUUUUUAUCCGUAUACUAUUCAUUUUUUAUCGGGUCCGGUUCGGGUUUGGGUCGGAUAUGGGAUAUCGGAUAUUUUGGACACCUUUAAUAAAAUAUUGUGGCUAAUAUAAAUAAAUUAUGUAUAGUGGAGAAUUUUUUUAAAAUAUAUGAACUAUUAAUGAAAAUUUUUUUAACUUUUAUUCGUAUGAGAAAUAUAACAUACUUUAGCAAAAUUAAUAUUUUAUAUCAUGUAUAUAUAAAUAUUAUAAUAUUAAUAAUAUUAUAUUUUAUUAGCGAUGAUAAUGUCGUUUCGGUGUCUUAAUUUUUUAAAAGUUGUCGAAUCACCGUGUUCGAAUCAUAUCAUGUCCCGUGUUCUUUGUCCAUGUUCGAAUUUAUUCAUAUCGUGUCCUGUAUUUUUUGUCCAUGUUCGAAUUAUAUGUAUUCUGUUGCUGAUGAGUAGAAUAAUCAUUUCGUGCGGAGAAUGUUUUACGCAUCAAAGAUUAGGCUCGGUUGAACGUCAACCGACGCUGCAGACAGCCAGCCGUCUUAGGUUUUGUCAAGGUGGGGUUGGUGGGUCCGGCAGAGGGAGGAAGGAAGCCUGCCGGCUCGGUCCAGGUUGGUUCGGGCCUGCUUCCCAACUUCUUCGGUUUAAUUAUUUUUCGUCCCUUUCUGCAUCAACGUGGUUGCGUUAUUUGAUUGGAGACAGUGAACGAUGGAGGGGAUCGAAGAGAAAGUGCCGAGAAAAUGUGAUUUAUGGAUUAGGUAAAACUCUUUUGUCUCUAGCUAUAAAGGCCUAGUUUGGUUGAAAAAAAUAAACUGUUAUUAUUAUUAUUAUAGCUAUAAUUUUUGGGAUUUUGAGACAAGGAUAUAUUUGGUAUUGAAACUAGUAUUCGUGCUGAUACCCAUUAUAUAACCCAAAAUUUAAAAUUAAACAAAAUAAUAUAAAAAAAAAAUAUUGGAGGAGAAAGAAGAUAACUAAAUUAAUAUGCAAUUAAUUACAUUCUUGGUAAUACCCAUGCAGCCACGUCUGCUAUGACUUUUUUUUUUAAUUAACUCAUGCUUAACUAUAUAUAGCCAUGAAAUCAUAACAGAUGAUAAAUCUAAUUUUACUUUGAAUAAUUAUAUAUCAUAAUUAUAUUCAAAUAAAAGAUUUAAACUUAUCUCUAGUUAUAUUUUAAUUAAGUUUGGAUUAUUAUUUUCAACAUUUGAUUUUUCAGAAAAGUGUAAAAAAAAUUUAAAAGAAAAAAACUCUUUCAUGAAUAUAUUUUUUUUAAAUUUUCCACCGGUAUGGUUUGGCCGAGAAAAUAAAUUAUUAUUAUAGCUAUAAUUUAUGAGAUGAGGGUCUGUUUGGUUUCUCGAAAAAUUGUGAAUUUUUUUUUAAGAAUAAAUUUUUUUUUUCAAUUUUUCGACUGUUUGGUAGAAGAAAAUUAAGUAUUUUUGAAAAAAAAAUCGUAUUCAAGAAAAAUUAACAUUUUCGUUUUUUUGACUUUUUACCGAACACACUAAUUUUUCAUAAAAUAUAUAAAAAAAAUAGUAAAUGCUUGUUUUUCUUAGAACCAAAUGGAAGGAAAAAUAAUUUUUCAUGAAUAGUUAGAUAGAAUGUAGUAUCCAUAUAUAUAUAUAUAUAUAUAUAUAUAUAUGUAUGUAUGUAAUAUAUAUAUAUGUAUGUAUGAUAUUAUGUAUAUAUGUUAUGUAUGUAUGUAGUUAUAAUUAUGUUAUGUAUGUAUGUAGUAUAUUAUAUAUAUAUAUAUGUAUAUAUAUAUUAAUAAUAUUAUGUAAUGUAUGUAUAAUAUAUAUAUAUAUAUAUAUUAUAUAUAUAUAAUAUAUAUAUAAUAUAUAUAUAUGUAUGUAUGUCUAUGUACUUGUAUGUAUAUAUAUAUAUAUAUAUAUAUAUAUAUAUAUAUAUAGAUGACAUGUGCCUAUGCAUGCAGUUCAUGCCUAUCCAUUUAUGUAAUUGAGGGUUGCACCAACACCUCAUUAAUUAACUUUCUCUCUCGUUUCGGCCGAAGCAACGACGAGCUCGGGGAGUUACCGCGAGCCGAUUUCGACACCAACGAUGCAGCGCGGAGCCGUUCGAGGGUACGGUUGCAGUCGUAGCGUCGCAGGGAGCUUAGGCGAGGGCGUGUUUUCGUCGUUCUCGACGCCGCGUCGAUGUCCGAUUAGCCUUUGAGAUGAGUGUUCCGUUGCAUUGCUUCAAGUAUUGUCAUUUUGAACUUGGUGCUGAUUUGCAGAAUUUCCAGCGUCGAUCAUCGGUAUUUCAGUUCGUACUCGGCGUAGGAGCGUCGGAUUUCGACGAGACUUGGUUCGUUGGAUUCGGGACUUCGAGAGGAAUCCAUGAAGCCCUUACUUGCUGGAUUUAGUAAAGGUUUGCUAGGUCGGAAUUUCACUCCUCUCUGUUGCUGUUUUUGAGGCAGAAUUAAUGCUUAUUGUCGGAUUCUCCGUGUAGAGUUUGGCGGGAGCUUGACUUCGGGCCUUGGGAGGUUUUCGGACGUUUUGGCAGGUUGUUCCGCAGCCGAGGGGAGUUCCGUGCUGCCAGGGAUUAGCGAGCGAGGUGGGUUAAUCAUCGGCUUAUACUUCUAAGUGCGCAAUAGUCAACAUGUAUAAUUUCAGAUUUUGUAUAGUUUACUUUAGCUCGAAUUCAUGGAUUUUGUUAUAGAUAGCAAAUCUGAAUUUGGAGCAUGUGGUAUUAAAUUGAGUAGUUUAUACAUGUUAGACUUGGAAUUUGAAUUAGGAGAAAACCUGCGAUUUGGACCUGUCACAUGUUUAAACUGCCUGAUUUAGCUCUAGGAGCCGUUAUAAAAUUGUACUGUCGCAGUAUCUUCGAGACGAGUACUUCAGCUAGUUUAGAAUAUAUUUACGCUCGUGCUGGUGUGCCGAGUGGAUUUUUACAGGGUCGUUCAGAUUGUUCCGGACUGUUGGGUGCCGUCAGGGUUGACGGUGGACCCGUAUCGCCUUUUUGGCAUCAGAUUGUGCUGAGUGCACUUUACCUGUUGGUUAUUAGACCAGUUUGAGUUGGUUACUUGACUUUGGCUUUUCAGAGCCUGAUUGAGCUCGACAGAGAUACUCUACAUACUCGGUUGGGUAGCGCCCACGAGUGCCACUCUGGAGUCAGGCUUUGUGCUUUCGCGUUGGUGUCGCUCAUGCCAGUUGGACUUUCUCUCCACGGACCAGUUAGUGUGGAUAGAGCCUGAUAGUCGUAACGGGGUAGGGACGGGUGUAUUCACAGUCCCGGGGACGGGUAUGCUUACAGUCCCGAUUGGAUUGGGUCAGAUUUGACAUUUACUACAAUUGGUUAGUGUUGAGCAUGAUAGUGUAGUGAUCGAUAGCGGUAGAGUUUACUUCCUGCUUUUCUGACUACUCUUGCUCCCUUCUGUAGACUUAAUGGGUGGACCGAUGUGGUUUUGGGUGGUACCCACUGAGAACUACUUGUUUUUACAGUAGUUCUCACGCCCAGUUGUUACCUCUAUUUUGCAGAGCCGCAGGUUCCGGCUGCUGCGCCUUCCGCGGAUCAGGAUCGAGGCAAGGGCGUCGCGAGUUAGAGCCCUACCCGUCCUACUGAGUUAGAGGUGCCCCUACUGCAGGUAGAUGUUUUGUUUCGAGUUUCUGUAUAUAGUAGACUUAACUCGCCAGUGCGAGUAGCCCUGUAUUUUGGAUUUGGACUAUGUAUAUGAAACUCAGUUUGUUUAGCUUCUGUUUUCUCUAGCAGCUCUCUACUACUGUUCGUAGUAGUGUUUGAUUUACAGGUACAGCUGUCGCUUCGUAUACAGGAAAAAUUUCUUUGUAUACGGCGGAUUUGUCGGCGUGCCCGGGAAACGAGACAUCCGGGGCGUGACAUAGAAAUAGUAGGAAUAAAAGUAAUUAUAAUUUUAAGAUAAUAAUAUUUUAUCCAAUUAAAUAACAUCAAAAUAUUAAUUGAAUAAUAAUUUAAUAAAUAAAUUGAUUAAUUAAUCAUGAAUACAGUUAGAUAACCAUAAAUAUUAUCAUACAUUUAUUGAUCAUUAAUUUAUUAACCAUGAGUACUAUUAGUUAAAAUUAACUAACCAUAAAUAAUUUCAUAAACUAAGAAAUUAAAAUAUUAGCUUAAUAAAUUAAUAGAUUAAUAAAAUAAUUUAAUAAAUAAAUAAAUUAAUUAAUUAAGGUCAAAAUAUUAAUUGGUACUAAUAAAUAAUACAUUUAAGAAGUAGUAUUUUAUUAUUAACUAGUAUAGUUAUAAGGGGAGGAAUUGUUAUUCCAACUCAUAAGGUGGAACAAUAAUUCCAUCUUAUUAAUUCUUCGGAGCUUUAAAGUCGAAAUCUAAUUUAUCAGAAUUAAUAUUUUCGGAGCAAUUUUUGUGUUACAGCAGAGUGGAAAAAAAAUGUCUAAAACAUCAUUAAAUUCAAUGAAUCUGCUUUUAGCAUUAUUAAUUCUUGCUAUGGAAAUAUCAAUUUCCUGUUGAGCGAAAUUAUACUAAAAAUCUGAUUAAUUAUCUAAUUGAUUUUAUGGUAAAGAUAAAAUCAAAUUUACAGAUAAAUGCUAAAAUUCAAAUAAAUAAUUUGAUUGAUUUGGAAGCAUGCGUAGCAUAGCCUCCCGUCAUUUGUGCGGGAUUAACCGAAAACAUCGUUCCAAGGUAUGACUGGAAUUUUUUCUCCUACGAGUAUAAACGCAAAAGAGAUUGAUAGAGAAACUUUCAAUAUCUGAUAAUAAAGAGAUCAAACAAAAUAAAAUUAAAAUAAAAAUAAAUAAAAAAUUCUUUUUUCUCCUCUUUUGUUUUUUCUUCUUCUAUUUCUUUCUACAAUGUCCAUGUUAUAUGAACAGUAGAGGAGGCAGUAUAAAUGGGGUGUAUAUGGAACAUUUGAGGCGCCCAACGUUCCACUCCAUUAACUCCAUUUAAUGCCAUACAUUCCAACUUAUUAAUUAAAAUAAUAAAUAAGAAUAAUAAUAAAAAUACUUAUAAAUGAGAAUAAAAAUAUUAAUGAAUUAAAAAUAAAAUAAUAGUUAUUGAAAAAUUUUGAAUUUACAUUUCCUAGGUAAAAGAAUAGUAUUCUUUUGCAAGGAUUUGGAUUUAGAUUUGGGAAAACUUCAAAAUAUCACUCAUGUGGUUUUGCGCUUUUUUAUUUUAGUAUUGUGUAGCUUAAAUGUACGACUUUAGGAUCAUGUAGUUUUGUUUUUCUCUUUCCAUUAUUUCUUAUGUUAAUUAUUUCGUUAAAUGAAUGACAAAGUUAAAACUAUAUGGUACUCAAGUAAAAAUUCUAUAAACCAUAUGGUACUAAAAUGAAUAUUCGAUAAACCAUAAAUAGAGUAUUUGUAGCUUUUUGUAUAUGAUUUAAGAAAGAAUUAAUGAAGGUGCUGACAGAAAGAGAAAAAUAUAACCAUGAGAUACUACAGUGACACACUUUAAAUCAUAUGGUACUAAAAUAAGAAAAUCCAAAACCACAUAGGUGGUAUUUGAAGUUUACUCUUUAGAUAUUUUGCUUUACAAAAUUAUUCUUAGAGUAUUUGAUUCAAAGAUCAAAAUUGUUCAGAAACAUUUUAAAAUAUUUUAACAUUUCAAAAGUUAAAUUUUAUAAAAUUUCAGUACAUUCUACUCACUCGUCAUUACUUGUCAAAUUGAACUAUUUUAAUGAUUGAUUUGAUAGAAUUACUAGUUUGAUGGUAAAAUGUGACUGAAAUAAGUUGAAAAUUUAUUAGAAAAUACUUUUCAAAGAUCCGAUAAAAAAUGAUGAUUUGAUUCUGGAGAAUUAUUAGCUACAUUUGUUUUGGCCUAUUCAAUUUAACACUAUUUCAUUUAUCUCUUUGUUCGAUACAUAUGUAAAAGAGUACCAAAAAUUUGUAAUUUUUUAUAUCAAGUAAAUUUAUAUAUUCUAAAUUAUUUUCCAAAGCAUUGAUCGUUGAUUCAAAUUAAAAAUAUUACUGCAUUAAACCAAACGCACUAAUGCAGCAUCAGUAGUAAUCUCACGCUGAAAUUCAAGAUAUCUGGAUAUGUCAAGAUACUUUGUAAUAUUAUAUAACUUGAACGAAACGGGCCCUAAAAGAAAAAUGAGCCUUACUCAAUUUAUAAUAUUUAGAAUAUCUACAUUAAAACUAUAAAUGUUGAAUACAGCAACCGAUGGAUUUUUCUCUAUUCUUGGUUUUUGAAGCUAUUUUAUACCCAAGUUAUAGUUAUAGGUUUUCUGAAAUACAUAUAAUUUUUUAAUAUUAAUCAUAAAAUAUUUUAUACUUUUUUUUAAAAAAAAAAGAUAGUAAACUAUUCGUUUUGUUUAUUUUUUUAAAAAAAUCAGUUAGAAAUGUAAAAUAAUAAAAUUUCGAACUUUGGAACUCAGAUAUUAAUCAUCAAGUAGAUUAAUGGCAUAAAAUGAAUAUUAUUCAUCUACAGUGAGUACUAUAGCUGGUGUGUUUCUUCCCUUUUUAACUACUAGGCAGUGCACGUAUUAGUAAUAUUUAAUAUUACAAACUUUAAUAUUAGUUAGUAAUAUAUGUAUUAGAUUAGAAAGAAGGUAUUAUAAUUUUUAUCAAAAAAUAAAAUUUUAUUGCAGCAAUUUGAAUUGGCCAUUAAAUUUAUUUUCAAAAAUAAAAUUAUGUUCAAAUUGUGAAAUUAUGUUCAAUUUAGUUAAUUAAUAAGAAAAAAUGAAAAGGUUUAGAUAGGGAAUGAGGUUUAUACGAGGAAUGUAUUAGGGAAUGAAUUUAAUCAUUGGGCAUUAAUAUCUGUUUUUGGAAGGCCUGGGAAUUAGAAUCGGGAUAUGAUUUCUAUUAUCUUGUCCAAUAAUGGCUUGAAUUUUACGUCUUUCUAUUUACAUGAAAAUUAAAUCACAGAAUACAUAAUUAAUUCCUUAUGAAGACUCUAAUAGAAAUAUCAUCUUCUUAAUUAAAUAAAUGGCAUGUUUUAAUUUGGAUUCGCUAGUUAUUUAUUGCCGCACGAGGAGUGAUCAUCAUCCUCUAAUAAUGGAAAUUAAAUAGUAAUGCUUCCUCGCCCCUUUUUUUUGGCAAAUUAUAUAAUUUUACCAAACGUUUCUUAUGUAGUAAUUUUUUAAUAACUUUUCAAAGCCAAUUUGGAUAAACAUUGUAAAUUUUGAAUUAAACUUCAAAUUUUCUCACCUCUCAUAUAAUUUAACAAAAUUGCGCUUAUAUAUAUUAUUUAUUUUUUGGAAUCUUUUAAGCCAAUUUAGAUGUACAAUCUAAAUUUUGAAAAAGUUAUUCAAAUUUUAACAUAAAUCUAAACUUAUAAUGUACAUUUAAUAAUGUUUUCGCAAAUAAUCAUUUAAAUAGUUUUCCCUCACUUGUAUCGGAAGUUUUUUUUCGAAAUUAAUAUUUUAGGCAUUAAUAAAUCUGUUUAUAGCGUUUUACAAAUUAUCUUGAUGGAUAUUUAGGCAUCGUUUGGGAUUGCGGAAAGAUUGCAUUACGUGCGGUACCAUGUUUGUUUCCGUACGUAAUAUUGCAUUUCGCAUAUUGUGGUUAGUCGGUUACGAUAAAUUUUCUGCAGUCCCAUAGGAAAACGCAGAAGCAUAUUCUUAUAUGCUUUUUCUCAACUCCAUUCUAUCUAAUAGCGUUAGAUCCACCUCAAUACCAAACUAAGUGCAGUGUCCCUGUUGUUUGGUUGCCUGUGAGAUUUCAACAUCUAAGGUUUGUCGACAUAUCUAGAGAGUGUCAGGACAAGUCGGAGUUGUUUUGGCGCGAAAUAGACGCAAAACGGACUCAACGCGAGGCGAGAGUGAAGUUCUGACACUGAAAUCCGCAAAGUGCAGGAUUUCAGUGUUGAGUAUCGGUACCAGAGAGAGGUACCGGUACCCAAGUGGAAUUACAGAACAGGAUGUUCUCGGGUUUCCGUGAGGUGAUGUUGAGUAUCGAUACUGACCAGUAAAGUACCGGUAUCGAGCCCGGGUACCGGUAUUGCAUCGGGCUGGUACCGGUACCCAGUGUGCGAGGCUACGGGCUGAGGGGCCGACUACCGGUAUUGGAGUUGGGUACCGAUACCCUAGCUGUAUUUUUGAGUAGGUAAGGGGUAGUUUGGUCUUUUGAUUAGUCGUUCAACCCAAUGUUCCUCCCAACCUUUAUAUUCACAGAGAGAGUUGUAGAGUAGGGGUUUAUUUCUCAUUUCUCUCUCUCUAGCUUGUGGAUACCGUAUGAGGAGGAGGUCGCGGCUCGAGCUCGGGUGGAUUUCGACGUUGCUCCUGAGGGCCGUUCGAGCACGUGGGCAUCACGGUUGCGUCGUUGGAGGCUGGGCGGGUGCGUUGAUUCCCUCCUUUCGACUUCUCGCCACGGUUGGACGAGCGUUCGAGGUGGGUUGAUGUUUACCGAAAUCGUUGGAUUUUCUCCUAAGUCUUAGCAUCAUCAACAUGCUUCAUUGGUUUUGUUUCUUUUGCUAGUACUCAAAUUCAUGGAAUUUUUAUGUUAGUGCAUAAAAUCUGAAUUUGGAGCUAAGCUAGUGAUUGUAUACAUGUUGGACUUAGAAAUUGACUUAGGAGAAAACCAUUAAACCCUACACUGUCAUUUUCUGAAAAAUUACCAGAUUUAGAUUUAAGAGUUGUAGUUCUUUUGUAUUGCCGCUGUUAGUAUGCGGUGGAUACCCAGAUUAGUGUAGGUUGAGGUUAUGCUUUAUGCUGGGAUAUCGAGUUCAUUUUAUAGCAGUGUGUAGACUGUUUUGUACUGUCGGGUGUCGUCGCGGUUGACGGUGGGUCCAGAUUUCUGUAUCUUGCAUUAGAUUGUGCCAAGGGCAAGUGAGCUUUGGUUGAUAGACCAGUUAGGCUCUUUUGUAUUGACUACAGCCUGUGAGAGCCUGUUUGAGCUCGGCAGAGAUACGCUUGCAUACUCGGUUGGGUCGUGCCCAGGAGUGUCGCUCCGGAGUGAGGCUUUUACUUGCGUUGAUGUCGCAGCCAUCCUGUUUUGGACCGUUUACUUAGACCGGCCAUCCCCGAGGGUGGUGUACGGUAUAGUUUGCCUACAGGCAGGGUGGGUCCAUUUGGGCAGCCCUAGUGAGAUUGAGUUAGAGUGAUGCAUAUUUUAAUUAUCUACAGAUAGCCUGUGUGGGUUAGUGAUAGUAUAGUUGCAUGUAGGUGUAGAGUUUUUCCAACUUUCCUUACUAUCUUUGCGCAUAUUUUCUGUAGACUUAGUGGGUGGGCCGUUGAGGACGGUGGCGGUACCCACUAAAGACUACUUCUUUUGCAGUAGUUCUCACACCCAGUUGCUGACCUUUUGCAGAGCCUUCGUCCGUGGCUGCUGCUGCCGCCGAUUCAGAUCGUGGGAAGGGAGUCGCGAGCUAGAUCCCUACCAGCUUUGUUGCCGUGCUAGAGGAGUACCUUCCACAGGUAGUUUUGGGGACUUUCUUGUACAUAUGGUUAUGUUGUCGGGUACUUGCUGGAGCGAGUUGUGUUGUGGACAUUUUGUAUGUACAGGAACCCCUCGAGAUUUUAUAUAUGUGUUUAUUUUCAGUUUAGCACCUCUAUACUACUGGUUGUAGUUAUGUUGUGAUUACAGGUACAACUAUCGCUUCGUAUACACGGAAAAUUCCUAUGUAUACGGGGAUCUGUUGGCGUGCCCGGAGAAACGAGGUAAUCCGGGGCAUGACACUAGCCUUAAUAUCAAAUUAAAUAUGUAUGAAAUUUUAUUUGUAUGACAUUUUGCUUAUCCUAUUAUUAAAUAUGCUCAUACAUAUUAAUUACGUAAAAAAUAUUUGAAUUUUCUAUUAACUUUUGAAGUGUCCCUGGUGUUCUGCAGCCGUGAGAUUUCAGCAUCUGGGGCUUGUUGACACAUCUGAAAAGUGUCGGGACAAGUUCGAGUCGUUUCGGCGCGAAAUGGACGCAAAACGGACUCAACGCGACGCGAGAGCAAAGUUUUGACAUUGAAAUAUGCAAAGUGCAGAUUUUAGUGCUGAAUACGGGUACCACGCAGGGGCGUACCGGUACCCUAGUGUAUUCCGAGAACAGACUGCUCUCGAGUUGCGAUUAUUGAUGCUGGGUACCGAUACAGCAUCGGGCUGGUACCGGUACUCUAGGGUAGGUGAGGGGCCUUUUGGUCAAUUGCUCCAUCGUGGACUUCACCCUUAUCCCCAUCGUGUAUAUAUGUUUAGAGAGGCUGAGAGGGAGAUUUUAUUUCCUGUUUCCUCUCUCUCUCUAGUUUUUGGUUGUGGUGGUUGUGGUGUUCGUGGCUCGAGCUCGGAUCGACUUGACGGUUACGCCGGGGAGUCGUUCGAGCGUGUGGNCGUGCGUCGGGAUAGAGCCGUUGGACGCCGUGCGAGCACGUAGUUCCUCUCCUGUCGACUUCUCGUCGGAGUUGGAUUAGCUUUUGAGGUGGGUUGGAGUUAAGUUACCGAAAUUUUUGAAUUUCCUCCUAAGCCUAGUUUGUUGUCGGCAUGUAUUUUUGGAUUCGUAUAUCAUGUUUAGUAGCUCGAUUCGUCGAUUUGCAUUGUUCUUAAAUGAAAUCUGAAUUAGAGCUUUAGUUUAUUAUACAUGUUGGACUUGGAAUUGACUUAGGAGAAAACUAUAAGUUCUACACUGUCAUUUUCUGAAAACUAACAGAUUUAGCUUAAGCUGUAGUUUGUUUAUAUUGCCGCAGUUUGUAGGCAGUGUAUACCCAGAAUAGUUUAGAAUGAAUUUACGCUCGUGCUAGGAUGCCGAGUUUAUUUUUACAGUAGUGUAUAGACUGUUCCGAACUGUCGGGUGCUGUCGCGGUUGACGGUGGACCAGAUUUCUGUAUUUUGCAUCCGAUUGUGCUGAGGGCACGUGAGUUAUGGUUGUUAGACCAGUUAGACCCUUCUGCUUUGACUAUAGCCUGUGCGAGCCUGAUUGAGCUCGGCAGAGAUACGCUUGCAUACUCAGUUAGGUGGCGCUCACGAGUGCCACUCCGGAGUUGGGUUUUGUGUUUUUGCGUUGUUGUCAUUGUGUCCUGUUUGGACUCGCUCUCCACUGACGACCCAGCGUGGUGGUAGUUAGUGUAGCUUCGACAGGCAGGACGGGUGUGUUCACAGUCCCUAGUGAGAUUGGGUCAGAGAUUGUAUUUUUCUACAGAUAGUUAGCGUUGGAUCGUGGUAGUAUAGUGGCAUAUAGCUGUAGAAUUAUUUCAGCUUUCUUUACUAUCCUUAAGCAUACUUCUAUAGAAUUAGUGGGUGAGCCGUUGAGGUCGGUAGCGGCACCCACUGAGGACUAUUUCGUUUUGCAGUAGUUCUGACACCCAGUUGUUGAACCCUUGUUGCAGAGCCUUCUUUUUCAGCUGUUGCUGUUGCGGAUACAGAUCGUGGAAAGGGAGUCGCAAGUUCAAUCCCUUCCCGUUUUGCUGCUGAUCUAGAGAUAUACCAGCUACAGGUAGUGUUGGUUUUUGGUUCUUGUACAUACUGAUAUUUGAUCCUCGCUGGAGUGAGUGUUAUGUAUCUAGAGACUAUGUAUGUAUAGAGAACCUGAUGUUAUUUAUAUAUAUUUUUCAGUUUAGCAGCUCUAUACUACUAGUUGUAGUUUUGUAUGAUAACAGGUACAGGUACAGCUAUCGCUUCGUAUAUAAAAAAAAUUUCUUUGUAUAUGGCGGAUUUGUCGGCGUGCCCGGGGAAACGAAUAAUCCGGGGCGUGACACUUCUAUCGUAACUUAAACUCAAAUUUGUAUUUUAUUUCAUUAUAUGUGUUGCUAUUUGAAAUUUGCCAAUUCGAAAUUAAAUUUGUGUUUAAAAUUUCUGAUUUAAAGGUUCGGUAAAAGGUUUUAAUUAACAGCUAAAAAUGGUUUUGUAAAAUUACCUUCUGUUAAAGAAAUUGUGUGAAAAAUAUCAAAGGUAGCGAAAAGCGAUUUAAGCUUUAGCAACCUUUUAAAUAGUCAAACUUAAGAUUUGCAUUAAAAUAGAAACUGUUUUAUACAUCAGCACUAUAGGCCAAAAAAAUAAGAAAGAACAAAAAAAAAACCUGAAACAUUUAGAGAAGCAAACAAAAUGCUAGAAAUAUCAUCAAACAACAUUUCUAUACGUUUGCUUGAGAAAGCUACAAAAAAAUUAUUAUAUUACUGUAACUGAAUGCGCUUAUUUUGAACAACCCAGUUGCCGUUGUAUCCAGAAGGAGUUCUUUCUUUCCAAAUAAUUCUCUCACAAGAAAAUGCAGAAUGGUAAAUAUAGACCUUUGUUCCAAUCGGAUAAUUAUCACUCAAGCUCAAAAUCUCAAUAGCACGAUUGUGUAUGUCCAUAAUGAAAAUGCCAUUGGCGGUCAUCAAAAAUAUUUUAUCAUAUGUUCAAAAAAUUGUCGUACUAUAGAAUAUAGAAUUUACCAAUAAGGGACUGAGACGCGCUCUAGCAACAAAAACCCAAGAUAAGUUGUAUGAUGGUAGAUUCCAAAUAUCCAUUGUGUCGAGACAAGUAUAUAGUAAAUCAAGGGCUCCAUCGCAGCUUACCAACUCUUUUUUGUAAGGAUAUACAGGACAAUAGCGAGCUUGGUUUGGUAGUUCUUUGAAAUGCGAAUUAAACGUUCGUAAGUCAAACACAAAGAUCUUAAAAUUAUAUACCAUCCAAUACAAAUACUGGCCAACUGAAAACGGUCCCUCCAAAACUAAAGAAUGAGUUGCAUCUAGGCAAGUUUCACCACACCAUCGCCAAUUUCAUUAUACUGAAUCAAAUAACUCACUGACCAAAUUUGAUCUGGGAAAAUGCGACCAACAUUAUUGUAGAAUUUUAUAGUGGUGAGGUGAGUAACCAUGCAUGAUCAAAGCAAAACCUUUGGAGUGGUAAGGAUUAGAUAGCUUAACCCAUUCUUUGCUAGUGGGACGACAUAUAUAGAACCUUGGAUACUGAAGAUUAUUAUUUGAACAUAACAAACAUUUAUUCAACGAGGAUGAAAGAAUAUGAACAAUCUCCGACAUAAAUCCCAAGUUAAAAUUUGGCAAAACCAAAGUGUUAUGUGCUGGAGUAAAUUCCACAGGUAAACUUAUAUCGAAUUAUUGUACAAACAAGCCAAAUGUUCCCGACAACCUUUGACAACGACACAACAUAAAUUCAAAUGUGUAAGUUGCUCUAUUGAAGUAGAAAGAGAUAGCUCGAGAAGAGUAUAGAGUAGCCAAAUCAACUCUAGUGAAAAUUUUCAUUAAAAUAUCAGUUGGCAGUUGCACACCUUCCUCAUCAUCAACCCAAUGUUGAAUAUAACUAUAUGCUAAUGACAUAUUCUAAAUAAACUAGAAAAAAUUAAAGAAUUAGUAGCCAUCGAAGGAAAAUUUUUUUUAGAAUUUUUGUAAAAUUUUAGAAAAUAGAAUCAUAAAAAAAGAGAAGAGAUUAAUUUACAAAGUGAAAAUAAAUUAUUAUACAACUAAUUCAUCUAAUCAGCGAAAAAUAUGAAUGCAAAUAAAAAAGAUUAAUACAAGUAUAAUUUUAUUGUAUACAAACAAGUAUGACUAAAAAAUAUUUUUCACCAAAGAAUGCAUAUUAAGAAAAAAUUAAAGAAAUUAUUUUUCCAAAACUAACCGCUCAGUAAGUGUAUGAAGACCAAUUAAAUAAAUAUCACCAACUUGGUUUAAAUUCACGUAAUAUCCAGGAUAUCUCCCUCUAAAAGUCUUUUUUCUCUUUAAAUUCAAGUCGUAAUUAAUGUCAUUGCUUAUGACAACAAUACCUUCUUAUAUAUAUAAAAAAAUAUAUAGAGAAAUUAAAAAAUAAUUCACAAAUAUUUACUAAUAUUUAAUAUUUAUUAAUAUUAUUGCAUUUAUUCAAAAUGCACACUUCUCUAUAAACCUAUUCGUUUUUAGGAACAACCUUUUUAUUUUUUGGUGAAAUCUCUUCAUUUCUUAGAAAAGGUAUCUCUUCGUCCAAACUCUUAGCUCUUUGUUUCCUGGAGGAAGCUCUUCGUUUGUUGGAGAAUAUACAUCUCCUCCAUAUCUCGUUUCUCGAAACCGUAGAAGAUGAAGAUAUCACAUAUUCGGUUUUUUAGUCCUUCAUUAAUUAAAAUAUUCUAACAUUAUUAUUUCUAAAAAUAAAUUUAAACUUUACUAAUUUUUAAAAAUAUUCAGAAAUAUUUAAUAAUUAGUUUGAGUUUAAUUUUUUAAAAUUUUCUGAAUAAAUGCAUUUUGAAGCAGUAGCGCUAAUCAUAUUUUUAAAAUUCCUUUUUGAAGUUUUUUUUUUUAAAGAAAUCUCAUAUUUUCUUGAUUUGACUAAAAAAAAUUAAUUGCACAAUUGAUUUAUAAAUUCUAUUCUUCUAUGACGUUUACAUUUUGCAUGUUUUAUGAUUUACAUGUAAAUUACCAAUAUACCCUAAGUAGAAAAAAAUCUCAAUUUUUCUUGAUUUGACCAAAAAGAAAUUAAUUGCACGAUUGAUUUAUGAAUUCUAAUCUUCUAUGACAUUUAUAAUUUGCAAGAAAUAUUCAGAAAUAUUUCAUAAUUAGUUGAGUUUAAAUUUUUUUUAAAAUUUUCUAAAUUAAUCCAUUUCGUAGCAGCUUUAUUCUUUCCUGCAGCGGUAAGCAUAUUUUUAAAAUACUUUUUUGUAGUAUAGAGCUGCUAAACUAAAAAAGGUAAAUAUAUAAAACCUCGAGNUACUUUUUUGAAGCUCUUGUUUUUUUUUUAAAAAAUCUCAAUUUCUCUUGAUUUGACCCAAAAAAAUUAGUUGCAUAAUUGAUUUAUAAAUUCUAAUCUUCUAUGACGUUUAUAUUUGGCAUAUUUUAUGUCACGCCUCGGGUUACUGCGUUUCUUCGAGCACGCCAACAGACCCGCCGUAUACAAAGAAAUUUUCCUUAUAUACGAAGUGAUCAUUGUACCUGUAAACCAAAAACAAGCUACAACCACAAGAUAAGAGUUGCUAAACUAAAAAGUAAUAUAUAAAACCUCGAGGGGUUUCAGUACAUACAAAAUGUUUACAACACAACUCGCUCCAGCGAGUACCUCGACAACAUCACAGUAUGUACAAGGAAAAUCCAAAACUACCUCUUGGAGGUACUCCUUUAGUACUGCAGUAAGGCUAGAAGGGAUCUAGCACGCGACUCCCUUUCCACGAUCAGAAUCAUCAAUAGCAGCAGCCGCGGACGAAGGCUCUGCAAAAAGGGGUCAACAACUGGGUGUGAGAACUACUGCAAAAAGGAGUAGUCCUCAGUGGGUACCGUCACUGACCUCAACGGCUCACCCACUAAGUUUACAGAAAAGUGCGUAAAAGAUAGUAAGGAAAGCUGGAAACCCUGCAGCUAUAUGCCACUAAACUAUCGCUAACCUACACUGGCUAUCUGUAGAUAUAACAAAAAUGCAAUCUCUGACCCAAACUCAUUAGGGACUGUGAACGCACCCGUCUCGCCUGUCGGAGCUACACCGCACACCACCCCGAGGGCUGCUGGUGGAGAGCAAAGUCCUAACCGGACACUGCGACAUGAAUGCAAAAGCACGUAGCCAAACUCCGUAGCGGCACUCGUUGGCGCGACCCAACCGAGUAUGCAAGCUUGUCUUUGUCAAGCUCAAUCAGCCUCUCACAGGCUAUAAUUAAUGCAAAUGGGUCUAACUGGUCUAACAACCAAAACUCACGUGCCCUUAGCACAAUCUGAGGCAAAACACAAAAAUCUGGGUCUACCAUCAACCGCGACGGCACCCGACAGUUCAAAACAGUCUACACACUACUAUAAAAUAAGCUCGGUAUCCCAGCACGAGCGUAAACUCGUCCUACACUAAUCUGGGUAUCCACCACAUAUGAAUAGUGGCGAUACAAACGAACCACAGUUUCUAAAAAUAAAUUUGGUAAUUUUCAAAAAUGACAGUGUAGAAUCUAUACGUUUUCUCCUAAGUCAAUUCCAAGCCCAACAUGUAAAAUUAUAAUUCUAGCUUAACUCCAAAUUCAGAUUUUAUACUCUAAUCCAUGAAUUCGAGUACUAGCAAGGAAAUAAACCAAUGACACAUGUCGACGAUGCUAAAACUUAGGAGGAGUUCCAACGAUUUCGGUAAACAUUAACCCACAUUGAAAAGCUCAUCCAACGAGGGCGAGAAGUGGAAAGAAGGGGAAAUACACGCUCGCUUGGUUUCCAACGGCGCAACCGCGACGCCCACGUUCUUGAACGGCCCUCCGGAUUGAUGUCGAUCACCUCCCGAGCUCGAUCCACGACCUCGACAACACACGAAUCCACCAGCUAGAGAGAGAGAGGAAGAGGAGAAGAAAAAUCAGCUCCUAAGCUCUCUCUGUCAAUAUAUAGGCUGGAAAAAACAUUGGGUUGAUCGACACAUCAAAGGACCAAAAUGCCCUCUACCUACUCAAAAUCCAGCUGGAAUACCGGUACCCAAUUUGGUUACCUGUGCUCGGCCUCUCAUCCCGCAAGCUCGCACACAAGGUACCGGUACCAGCCCAAUGCCGUACCGGUACUUAGCAUCAGAUUGACGCAACCUGAGAGCAUUCUGUUCUAGAAUUACUCUGGGGUACCAGUACUUCCCUGCCGGUUACCGAAACUCAACAAUGAAAUCUGCACGUUGCAGAUUUCAGCGUCAGAACUCCACUCUCGCCUCGCGUCGAGUCCGUUUUGCGUCCAUUUCGCGCCAAAAGACUCCGACUUGUCCCGACACUCUCCAGAUGUGCCGACAAGCCUCAGAUGCUGAAAUCUCACUGGCAACCAAACACCAGGGAUACUACAUUUUAUGAUUUACGUAUAAAUUUUCAACAUACCCUUGGUAGAAAAAAAUCUCAAUUUCUCUUGAUUUGACUAAAAAAAAAAAUUGCACUAUUAAUUUCUAAUUUCUAAUCUUUUAUGACAUUUACAUUUUGCAUAUUUUAUGAUUUGCAUGUAAAUUAUCAACAUUCCCUUGGGAGGAGUGGUGAGGAGAACCCACCAAAUAUUUUUGUUUAUAGUUAAUAUCUAGAUUUACAUUCCACGUUCCAAAGAGCAGCAGCCAUGUGGAUAAGGGGAAGAAAUCUUUGUUUGGACCCUUUCAAAAAGAGAAAUGCUUGUGGUACCCCAUUUUUUGGUGCCCAAUAUAUGUGACCGAUCGUAGCAUAUUAUCUUUCUAUAUCAAUAUAUAUAUAUAUAUAUAUAUAUAUAUAUAUAUAUAUAUAUAGAGAGAGAGAGAGAGAGAGAGAGAGAGAGAGAGAGAGAGAGAGAGAGAGAAUUCGGCUGCUAUACUAUCGGUAACACGGAGGCUUCCGUGCUACCAAGUUGUUUUCGAUGAUGCGGCUUCUAAAUCGACGAUCGGCUCCGUUAGACUUGAUCUACACUAUUGAAAGUAUUUGGAAACUAAAUUUCAAAGUUUUUCGUCAUCAUUUGGCUGGUGAUCAAAAGGUCUCAAAAUUGAUAAUUUUAAUGGUAGAUGUGAUGCAUUUGUAAAGUUAACGGUGUAAAACAAUCCAAAUCAGAUGGAAUUUUUAUAGAAAUUUUUUUUUUACUAUUUAGAGUAAGAUUAAUACCUCUAAUCUUAAAUUCAAGUCUUCUAUCAUCAUUUUUUAUGAGAUUUUUGUUUUCAGCCGUUCAUUUUUAGACUACUCGUUUGAUAGGUAAAUGAUACCAAAAAAUUAAGAAAUUUAGUUUCCAAAUACUUUCAAUAAUGUAGAUGAAGUCUAACGGAGCUGACCGUCGAUUUGGAAGUGGCAUCAUUGAAAACAACUUGGUAGCACGGAGGCGUCCGUGCUACCGAUAGUAUAGCAGCCUAGAGCUACUCCUUCUCCCCCCCCCCCCCCCCCGCCCCCCCCCCCCCCCCCCACCCCCCCCCCCCCCCCCCCCCCCCCCCCCCCCCCCCCCCCCCCCCCCCCCCCUCCCCCCCCCCCCCCCCCCCCCCCCCCCCCCCCCCCCCCCCCCCCCCCCCCCCCCCCCCCCCCCCCCCCCCCCCCCCCCCCCCCCCCCCCCCCCCCCCCCCCCCCCCCCCCCCCCCCCCCCCCCCCCCGCCCCCCCCCCCCCCCCCCCCCCCCCCCCCCCCGCCCCCCCCCCCCCCCCCCCCCCCCCCCCCCCCCCCCCCCCCCUCCCCCCCCCCCCCCCCCCCCCCCCCUCUAUAUAUAUAUAUAUAUAUAUAGUUAUAUAGUAUAGGCUACUAUAACAUUAAUAGUACAAACGUUGGUUGCUAUUAGGUUUCGGCGCUUGAAUGAAGGGAUGUGGAUUAAGAUUGUGAUUAGUCCCCGACGUUAUGACGAUAUUUGCUUUGCUAGCUUGUGAUAGGUGAUUAGUUGAAAUAGUAUGAUUUCAACAGUCUGAAAGAACUGGUCAGAAAGUAGAUCCUAAUAGCGGAAAACUCGAUUAGUUAUAAAGCGCUCGGUACUAUCGAUGUACCUAGUAGCGAGGACUCUCUCUCUCCUCCUCUCUCUCUUCUCUCUCUCUCUUCCCUCCCAUAAUAUUAUAAUAUAUAUAUAUAUAUAUAUAUAUUAUAUAUAUUAUUAUAAUAUAUAUAUAUAUAUAUAAAGGCUGAUGUUCUCUUAGGAGCACGGAGCACGGAGGCCUCCGUGCUCUUAAGCCAUUUUCAAUGAUCGAAUUUUCGAACCGACGGUAGGCUCCGUUAAACUUAAUCUGGCAUAUUUGAAGUAUCUAGAAAAUAAAUUUUACAAAUUUCGAUAUCAUUUACCUAGCGAUUGAAAAGUUUCAAAAUCAACGGCCGAAAAUAAAAAUCGAACAAAAAGUGGUGAUUUCAUACUAAAAUUUUCAAUUAGAUAUAUUGAUCUUACUGUAAAGAGUAUAUAGAAUUUUCUAUCAAAAUUUUAUAUCGUUUGAAUACUUCUACACUGUUAAACAUGAAAAUGAUAGACAUCAAUCAUUAAAAAUUAUUGAUUUUGAACUGUCACGCCCCGAAUUACUCGAUUCCCCGGGCACGCUAAUAGACCCGCCGUAUACAAAGAAAUUUUUCUUAUAUACGAAACGAUAGCUGUACCUGUACCUGUAGUCAUACAACACGACAACCUGUACUAUAGAGCUGCUAAAAAGAAAACAUAUAUAAAUAACAUCGGUUCAAAUACAUACAUAGUAUUUAGAUACAAAAAUCACUCGCUCCAACGAGGAACUAACAUUAGUAUGUAUAAGAACUCAAAACCAAAACUACCUAAAGCUGGUAUAUCUGUAGAUCAGCAGCAAAACGGGAAAGGUUCUAGCUCGCGACUCCCUUUCCACGAUCUGAAUCCGCAACAGCAGCAGCCGAAGAAGAAGGCUCUGCAAAAGGGUUUCACAACUGGGUGUGAUAACUACUGCAAAAAGAAGUAGUCCUCAGUGGGUACCGCUACCGACCUCAACGGCUCACCCACUAAGUCUACAGAUGUAUGCACAAAGAUAGUAAAGAAAGCUGAAAAAACUCUACAGCUCUAUGCUACCAUACUAUCACUAAUCAACAAUCUGUAGGUAUGAUAAUGCACUGUCUAACCCAGAUCUCACUAGGGACUGUGAACACACCCGUCCCGCUUGUCGAAGCAACACUGACAGCCACCACGCUGGGUCGUCAGUGGAGAGCAAGUCCAACCAGGACAAGCCAACAACAACGCAAAAGUACUAAGCCCGACUCCGGAGUGGCACUCGUGGGCGCUAUCCAACCAAGUAUGCAAGUGUAUCUCUGCCGAGCUCAAUCAGGCUCUCACAGGUUAUAGUCAAAGCAAAAAGGGUCUAACAGGUCAAACGAUCAUACAAAACAUGCCCUCGGCACAAUCUGAUGCAAAAACAAUAAACCGAGUCCACCAUCAACUACAACGGUACCCAACAGUCCGGAACAGUCUAUACACUACUGUAAAAAUAAGCUCGGUAUUCCAGCACGAGCGUAAAUGCAUUCUACACUAUUCUGGGUAUCCACCGUUCACAAACUGCGGCGAUACAAACAAACUGCGGCUCCCAGAGCUAAAUCUGGUAGUUUCAGAAAAUGACGGUAUUGAAUCGAUAGUUUUCUUCUAAGUCAAUUCCAAGUCCAACAUGUAUAAUUUAUCUAAAUCACUACUCUAUACUCCAAAUUCAAAUUUCAAUUAACAUGCAAAUCAACGAAUUCGAGCAAAUUAACAUGAUAUACAAAGAUCAAAAUACAUGCUGACAUCAACUAGGCUUAGGAGGAAAUCUGUAGUAUCCGAUAAGCAUAUCAUUAACCCACAUCUAGCGCGAGUCCGACCAAGCUAGUAGUCGUGAAGUCGCUCGGAGAACUCGACAGUGAUCAACCACGAACCAGCAACAACAUUCAUCAAAGAUCUAACACAAGAGUACCAAAUUGUAUCAAUACCCUCAAAUUCCAGCACUAAAGCUUAAUUCCUCUAAUUCCAAUGUCAAAACUCACAUUUCGAACUUCAAACCCACAAUUCGGUGAAGAACAUUCUCAAAACCAGUAGGGAAUGAUGGAGCAACCUCCUCUGGUCGAAAUUCCAGAUUCCUCAAAGAUUUGGUCCAAGAAAACCACAAAAAUUCAAGUUUCAGCUCCAAUACAGCAGCAGUUCAGAAAAACAACAAAUUAACCUUACUAAUCUCAAUCAAUUUUCGUCAAAUUAGCACCACGAAACCUUCAAGAAGUCUACUAACCACCAAACUAAGUUUCGCAGCAAUCCGACCUUCCUACGUCGCACACCAGCCAAAACGCCGAAGGUCACUGCUGGAAUUCUGCUGGAGUUGCAAUCCUCAAAGUGGAAUUGUGCAAUUAGGAGAGUUUAGAGGGGCUAAACUGCAAAAAUAGGGCUUCUCUGUGAAGGGGGUGAAAAAGCUUCUUAGGAGGUCGAACACAAGCUUUUAUAAAGAGAUAAAAGGAUAAGAAAAACCUCAGGAAUAGGAAAGACUAACCUGUUGUUUCUGCAGAAACGAGCACUUUCGGCAGCCCGAAACUCACUUCUGGGCGUCCGAAACCUCCAAGCCAAACAAAGCUCCCUCUUUGGUUCCUCCACUUGCAGUAUGGUAUGCCCUUAACGUGGUCCGGUGUACCUUACCUACCACCAAACACGUGUCAACGCAAUCGAUAUUUCCAAAGUAAACAUUCGGGCCCACUUCCGGGUGUCCGAAACCAGCAUUCGAAUUGGCUUCUAGUUUCAGCUCAGUUCAGCACUCAGUUUUGGGCGACCCAAACCAAGGUCUAGGCGCCCGAAACUGGCAAAACUCCAGUUUUACUUAUUUGAGUACGCCUAGUUCGUUUCUGCAUCUAUUUUGUGCAAAAAUGACUCCGAUUCAAUCCAACACUCUCCAGAUGUGUCGACCAAUCACUAAUACUGUAGCCAAUCCGAUACAAAACUCCCAGGAUACUACAUGAACUCUUUCGAUCUAUAGGUAAUGAUAUCAAAUUAUCACAAAAUUUAUUUUCUAGAUAAUUUAAAUACAAUAGAUCAAGUUUAACAAAGCCGAUCGUCGAUUCAAAAAUUCAAUCAUCGAAAACGGCUUAGGAGCAUAGAGGUCUCCAUGCACCAAAGAGCACAGUAUAUAUAUAUAUAUACAGGGUCCGGCUGGUGUACUAUUAUGAGUACGAUCGCCCUCGUACUCAUAAGUUGUUUUCGAUGAUAGAGCUCCCGAAUCGAUGAUCCACACCGUUAAACGUUAUUUACAGCAUUUAAAACUUCUAGAAAUCAAAUUUUAUAAUUUUUCGACAUCAUUUACCUUACGAUCAAGAGGUCACAAAUUUGAUAAUUUUUAACGGCCGGUAUGGGAUACUUGCUAGUUUAACGGUGUAAAAGAAUCGGAAUUUGUUGAAUUUUUGAUAAAAAAUUCUAUUCACUACAUAGAUAAAGAUCAAUACCUCCGAUCUUGAAUUGAAGGAUCCGAUCACCCUUGUUUAGAACGUCGUUCGAUUUUGACCGUUCAUUUUAUGCCCACUUGAUGGACUUUAUUAUGAAUUUCGAAAAUUUACGAAAUUUAUUUUCUAGAAGUUUCAAAUAGUCUAGAUUAUAUUUAAUGGAGUGGAUCGUCGAUUCGGAAGCUCCAUCAUUGAAAACAACUUAUGAGUACGAGGUCUCCAAUACUCAUAAUAGUAUAGUAGCCAUAGCCUAUAUAUAUAUAUAUAUAGUAUAAUAUAUAUUAUAUGGGCAAUUUUUUUAUAUAUCCUGAAAGUUUCCGACUUUUCGAUUUACCCCCCUCUUAGAAGCUAAUAUUGAAAAUACCCAUCCUACGUCCACAUAUUUCAAUAUACCUUUAGAGUUACAUCUAUUAAGUAACACUGUUAUCUCGUAAAAUCACUAUUUUGCCCCUUUCAAAUAUAACCCUUCCACCAUCAUUGUCUUUUCUUAUUGCCCUAAAGUCAGGGCACAAAAAAAUUUCAACUUUUGUCUUUUCGCAAUAUAUCCCCUCUACCGUAACCAACAUUUCUUAAUUUGCCCUUAAGUUAAGGCAAAAUUGGCAUUUUAAUUUCCUUUUAACUGUGAUAGAAUAUUUAACUCGCGUUUAACUAAGGUUAACUUAACAGAAGAUAACUACGGGGGUAUUUUGCAAUAACCGGUGGAACAUAUGGGGGAUUUUAGAAAGAAAAAAAAAAAUAGGGUAGAUCGAUAUUUCGCGACGCAUGAGGGUAUAUAGGCAAUUAUCCCUAUCCCUAUAUAUUUAUAUAUAAUAUAUUAUAUAUAUAUAUAUAUAUAUAUAUAUAUAUAUAGUCCAGCUAUGCAUACUUGUAAAAGCACAAGCACUUGGUGCUUGUAAAUUUUUUACCGUUAGAUGCUACGUCUUUGAUCAUUUUUACCCGUUAGAUCAUACUAUUAAACAACCACCCACCUCAACCCUAGGGGCCUACAUCAUCCUAACCGCGCAUUCCUUAAUCCAAUGGCCGAAACUUACAACACAAUGACUUGGUAUCUUUAAAAGUAUAGGAGCUCAAUUAAUAUAUAUAUGCUAGGCUGGUACACCUAUCGUAGCACGGAGGCCUCCAUGCUACCAAUUGUUUCAAAUUGACAAUUUAACGGUAGAUGUGAUGCGUUUGUGAAUUUAACGGUGUAAAACAAUCUAAUCUGAUGAAAUUUUAUAAAUUUUUUUUCACUAUUUAGAGCAGGAUCAGUACUUUUGAUCUUAAAUUCAAGUAUUUUAUCAUCAUUUUUAUGAGAUUUUUAUUUUCAACCGUUUUUUUAGACUACUCGUUUGAUAGGUAAAUGAUGCCAAAAAAUUAAAAUUUAGUUUCCAAAUACUUUUAAUGGUGUAGAUCAAGUCUAAUGGAGCCGAUCAUCGAUGGAAGCCGCAACAUUGAAACAACUUGUAGUAUACCCAACCUAGCUCUCUCUCUCUAUAUAUAUAUAGCUCUAUAUUAUACCAACAGCUCUAUAUAUAUAAUAUAUAUAUAUAUAAUAUAUAUUAAUAUAUAUAUCCAAUAUCAUAUUAUAUAAUUCAUAUCAUAAUAAUAUAUAAACUAUAUCUAUAUAUAAUAUAAUGCUCCGACAUAUGAAUACUGUGUACAGAACAAAGAUUGAGUGACUUGUAUAAUUUUUUAUACCCAGUUAAGAUCUACGAUCUUUAUCAUUUAUUAAUACGUUAGAUGCAUACUUAUUAAAACAGACACUCAUAACCUAGGGAGCCUACAAUCCUCCUAACCGCGAAAUUCUUAUCAAAGCGCGAAAACUAAAAGCAACCAAUGAUUAGUACUUUUAAAAGUUAUAAGGAGAAUCAUUACAUAUAUAUAUUAAGAAACUACGAAGCAUGUAACAAACAUCCGGAAUAGCAAACCACGAGAACGGCCUCCAUGGCUACCCAGAUGUUUUCAAAUUGACAUUUUAACGGUAGAUAGUGAUGCGUUUGGUGAAUUUAACGGUGUAAAACAAUCUAAUUGAUGAUACAAUUUUUGUAUAAAUUUUUUUUCACUAAUUAGAGCAGGAUCAGUACUUUUGAUCUUAAAAUUCAAGUAUUUAUCAAAUUAUUUUUAUGAAGAUUUUUAUUUUCAAGUUCUUUAUUUAGACUACCGUGUUGAAGGUAAAUGAGUCAAAAAUUAACUUUUAGUUUCCAAAAUACUUUUAAUGGUGUAGAAUAAGUCUAAUGAGCAUCAUCAUUUGGAAGCCGAAACAUUGAAACAACUUCGGUAGAUAAUACCCAACCUAGCUACUCUCUCUUAUAUAUAUUAGGCUCUAUAUUAUACCAACUAGCAUCUAUAUAAAAUAUAAUAUAUACUAUAAUAAUAUAUAUAUAUAUAUAUAUAUAUACUGUCACGUCCCGGAUUACCACGUUUCCAACCUAGCUCUAUAUAUUUAUAUAUACUGUCACACCUCGGAUUACCACGUUUGCCCGAGCACGCCAACAAUCCCGCUAUAUACAUAGGAAUUUUCUGUGUAUACGAAACGAAAGCUGUACUUGUAAGCAAGUUUUAGCUACAACCAAAAGUAUCGAGCUGCUAGAACUAAAACAUAUCUAAAAUAGAAAGGUUUCACUGUAUGUCCACCAACACCUCGCUCCAACGAGUAACACCAGCAUAUAUAACCGUAUGUACAUAAACGAAACCGAAAAAUCUACCUUUGAAGGGCACUCUGCUAGCACGGCGACCACGGGUGACAAGGAUCUAGCUCGUGACUCCCUUCCCACGGUCGGAAUCAGCAACAGCAGCAGCCGCAGACGAGGGCUCUUUUAAAAAGGUGUCAUCAACUGGGUGUAAGAACUAUUGCAAAACAGAGUAGUCCUCAGUGGGUACCGUCACCGACCUCAACGGCCCACCCACUAAGUCUACAGUAAUGAUAUGCACAGGUUAGUAAGGAAUGCUAAAAAACUCUAUAUGCACAGGUUAGUAAGGAAUGCUAAAAAACUCUAUAGCUACAUGCCUCUAUACUAUUACUACUAAAACCAACUAACUGUAGACAUAGCAUGCAUCACUAGCUACCACUGACCCAAUCUCUUACGGGCUGCCCAAACGGACCCACCCCGCCUGUAACCAAGCUACACCGUACACCACCCAUGGGGAUGGCUGGUCCAAGAAAACGGUCCAAAUAGGACGGCUGCGAUAUCAACGCAUGUCAAAGCCUCACUCCGGAGCGGCACUCGUGGGAGUGACCCAACCGAAUAUGCAAGCGUGUCUCUGCCGAGCUCAAACAGGCUCUCACAGACUAUAGUCAAUGCAAACGGGUCAAACUGGUCUAACAACCAAAGCUCACGUCCCCUUGGCAUAAUCUGAUGCAAGAUACAGAAAUCUCGGUCCACCGUCAACCACGACGGCACCCGACUAUACGGAACAGUCUGCACACUACUGUAACACAAGCUCGGACCCUCAGUACGAGCGUAAACUCACCCUACACUAAUCUGAGUAUCCAGUACGUACUAACAGCGGGGAUACAAAAUGAUCACAGCUCCUGAAGCUAAAUCUGGUAACUUUUUAGAAAAUGACAGUGUAGGUUUAUCGAGUUUUCUCCUAAGUCAAUUCCAGGUUCAGCAUUAGAAAUUAUCGAAAUUCUUCAAUCAUGCUCCAAAACUCAGAAUUCAUAAAACAUGCAAAUUCCUGAAUUUGAGCUACUAAUAUGAUAACUAAAGCAAAAACCACAUGUUGACAAUACUACGACUUAGGAGGAAAUCCGACGAUUUUGGUAAACAUCAACCCACCUAGAUCGCUCGUCCAACAUUGGCAAGAAGUCGAAAGGAGAAACUAUGCGCGCUCGCUCGACCUCCAACGGUUCACCCGAGAUGACCCAUGUGCACGAACGGUCCUCCUAGCUAGCGAAGACUCCGCACGAGCUCGACCCUCGACUUCCGAAUGAGCGGCGUACACAAGCUAGAGAGAGAGAGAGGGAGGAGGAGAAGCUAUCUAAGUUCCCAAGCUUCUCAUGUAGAUAAAUAUGCUGAGGGUAGGUGGCGAUACAAUCCACAACCAAAAAGACCAAAAUACCUCUUACCAACUCAAAUCUGCCUCUGGGGUACCAGUACUCAACUUGAAUACCGGUACUCAGCCCUCUCUCCAUAAUCUCGUGUGCUGGGUACCGGUACCAGCCCGAUGCGGUACUAGUACUCAAGUUCGGUACCGGUACUCAACAACAGGUACCGGUACUCAGCAUCAAUCAUGCACAAACCCGAGAGCAUCAGUUCAGCAAUCUCACUGAGGUACCGGUACUUCUCCCCAGGUAUCGGUACUCAAUACUGAAAUCCUGCACUGUAGAUUUUAGUGUUAGAACUCCACUUUCGCUUUGCGCUGAGUCCAUUUUGCGUCCAAUUCCCAGCAAAACGACUUCGACUUGUCCCGACACCCACCAGACGUGUUAACAAGUCUCAGAUGCUGAAGUCGCUCAAACUACUAAAUACCAGGGACAUUACAUAUACAUAUGUAUUUAUACAUAUAUGUAUAUAUGUACAUAUAUGUGUAUAUAUAUACAUAUAUAUAUACACACACAUAUAUAGAGAGAAAGAGAGAGACAGAGUUGAGCUGGAAUACUAUCGGUGACAAACAGGCUCCAUUGCCGCAAUUUGUUUUCGAUAAUGGAGCCUCCAAAUUGACAAUCGGCACUGUUAAACAUGAUCUAUACUACUUGAAAUAUCUAGAAACCAAAUUACAGGUUUUUCUAAUAUUGUUCUCUUGUCCAUCAAGUGGACACAAAAAUGAACGGCUAAGAAUAAAUAUCCUUUAAAAAGUGACGAUAGGAAUCUUGAUAUCAAGAUCAAAAGUAUUGAUCUUGUUCUAAAUAGUUUUAAAAAUUUUCUAACCAAAAUUCAAUUGAUUUGUAUACUUUUACACCGUUAAAGUGAAAACACCUCAUAUCGACCAUUAAAAUUAUAAAUUUUGUAACCUUUUGAUCAUUAGGUCAAUGAUGUCAAAAAAAUUUAAAAUUUGGUUUCUAGAUACUUCAAGUGGUAUAGAUCAUUCUCAACAGUGUCGAUCGUCGAUUUGGAGGCUCUAUUAUCGAAAACGAAUGGGUGGCAACAGAGCCCGUUUGCUACCGAUAGUAUUCCAGCUCAACUCUAUAUAUAUAUACAUAUAUAUAUACAUAGAACUAUGCUGGAAUAGUAUUAAUAGCACCAAGCUAUUUGUACUAUUAGUUUUUUAACCCUUAAAUUGAGAAAUGUGUGGUUUGGAUGAUAAAGGUCCCCUAGGUUUGAGUAGGUUGUUGGUUGAAUAGUAUAAUCUAACGGAUGAAAAUAGUCAAAGGAGUAGAUUUAAUAGACGAAAAUUUAAGAGUAUAAACGCACUCAACUUUAUGCAACCAAAUAAAUUAUUUAUAAUUGUAGCAUUUUUUACCGUAUUCAUCCAAACAAGAUAUAUAUAAUUAUAAUUAUCAUACCUCCGACUACAUUAUAUUUCUAAUUACACCAACCAAACAGCCCCUUAACUUGGCCGUAGUUCUAAUUAUAACAUUGAAAAGAGUCGUUUUAAAUAAAAGAUAAGCUUGCUUGUCUAAUCACAUUUUAAAAACAAUUUUUUUUCUUUCUUACGCUGGAAGUUUUAUCACCACCACAUAAUAUAUAUAUAUAUAGAGUAAUGAAAUUUUAAAAAUAAAUUUCUCAACUAUGUACAGCUAAACAAAUAAUUUGUAUUUGCAGUAUUUUCUACUACAUCCAACGAAACAAAAUGUAUAUAGUUAUAACUAUCAUAUUUUCAAUUCAUGUAUUUUCAAGUAUAUUGUGUUUUUAAUUGCAUCCAAUCACGCAGUCCUUAAAUUCAAUUAGAUUGUCAGAUUUAAGCAAUAUUUGAGUUUUUUAUAUAUAUAUUUUCAGGAAAGAGUUUGAAGUUAAUAUUAACUAAGAGAGCUCAAAUGAGUAUAGUGUAAACCUAGUGUACACACUUUUCUAGCAGUAUAUUCACAUUAGCUAAGUAAUUAAGAAUUUACUAUUAUUUUAACUCCUGAUAAUGAGGAUCGCAGAGCACAACAAUAAUAACACACUACUUAAAAAAUAUAACUAUUGCGCUUUAAGUCAUCUAACGACUAAUGUUAAUAAAUAAAAUGAAAUUAGGGUGACAGUAUAUGCAUAAAUAGGUUAAUUUCAUACAACUCAUUGAAAACAUAGUGAAUAACAAACAUAUCACUACAAAAUUCAACAUUCAUAUAUUUUCCCUACAAAAAUUUUGAAUGUUUUCAAAUAUAUCCCUAUUAUUAGAAUCCGUUAAAAAAAUUUAAUUAACUAUAGGUUAAAUACUAAACACUGAUUAAUUUUUGAUAUUUUACCCAUUUAUAUUAUACUGCUAUACCUCUUGGAUGAAUAUAUUUAUGAUGGCAAAAUUAAAAAUAUAAACAGUUUUUUAAUGGUUCUUUAACGGUAACAAAUCAGAGAAAUAUAUUUGAAAAUAUCAGGAUUUAUACAAGAACAACAUACGAAAGUUGAAUUUUAUAGAAAUAUAUUUGUCAUUCAUUAUGUUUGCAAGAAUCUGUAUAAUUUUAUUUAUUUAUUUUUUUUGGAGAGAUGAAUCUGUAUGAAAUUAAUCCGAUAUAAAUAUAUUGUUAUAUUUUCUGAUGGAAUUAUAGAAAAAAUAUAAUAAACGGGCUUUUACAAUAUGCGCAGAAUGUGAUAUUAUAUAUAGAAAUAUAAACAAUAUUUUUUUAUUAUAUUUCUUUUACCCGACGUAACACAAGCACUCCGCAAUUCGAAAUAAAACCUUAAAAAAGUUUAGUAGAAAGCACUUCUAUUUAAUUAGUACAANGUUUUAUCAAAAUGAGAGUUUUCGUUCUUAGCUAUUCGUGCGUUGCGAAACUACUCGUGUUCCGUGCUUGUGACCUGGGGUAGGAUGAAGAAUAUUUCGAGUCCCUACUAGUGGUAGGGAAGUCAAGUUCUAUAGUGAAAGUUGGUUUAAUGGGUUUACACAUAGGUAUAUGUGCGAUUUAUGGAUUAGUUAGAGAGCGGAUAGGUUCCGUCGCGAAUCCGUGACCAAAUCUGACGAAACAAGAUAGUAGUUUUGAUGCCUCCGACGUGCUGAACGCAAUGGUGCCGUCGGAUCGAAAAUCCGAUAGACGGAUCUCCGGGAAUUGCGAGAUGUCCGCUAAGGGGUCGAAUUUUGGCAAAACGGAUAAUCCGCGAAAAGCGCGGCAUUUUAUGUACCGAAUCGCGAGAGAUCGGACGUGGAGGUAUGUACGCGCAAGUUGCAUGUCCUGGCAGGGGCUGAACCUUAAAUAUUUUGUGUUGCAGGGGUUUUCUGCAACUGUCCACUUGUAUAUAUAUUGGUAGUUAGGGUUUUUGGGCACGAAACCCUAGAUCGAGUCACCUUCCUCGCCCAGCAAACCCUAGAUGACUUCAACCCAUCCCUGCCCUCGUCGUGCUCGCGCCCCAGUCGCCGGCAAGCGACCCCGGCCGUGGGAAAAGCCAAGGUUCCCCUCUCCUUUCCCCUCGGCCAGCCCUCCUCCCUACCGAGGUGACCUGGAAAGCUGUCAUUAACCCUCCUGGAGGUUUCCCUCGGCAGAGGCCGCUCUCCGGCAACGACCUCGGCCGUCCCUGCCAUCAGCACGCACCGCCGGCCGCUGCUCCUGCUAUUGCGGCCAGCCCGAGCAAGAUCUGGCCGUAGGUGGCCAGAUCUCUCUCCCUUGCGCCGCCGUCGCUUGGGAUGGGCUGCGCCGCCCUUCCAGGCCGCCGACGAUCCCUCACCGACGGUAUCCGACGUCCUUGCGCGCCGCCGGCGCCGUCGAGACCUUCUGCGGCAAUCUGCUGCAGCUCGGGCCGAGUUCGAGUCAGCUCGUGGCCGCGAGCUGCAGCCGCCUCGAGGCGGGCCGCCCCGCCUCCCGCUGCCGCCGGCGACCUCCCGCUUGUGUUUCCCGACGUCCCCGACCACCGCCGGCCGCCGCCCGAAGCUCCUGCAGCCGCCCAGACUUGGUGCGGGCCGAGGCUAGGCUUCCCUCCAAUCCGCGCGUCGCCGCCGCCCACAGCGGGGAGCACCACCCUCCCCACGGCCUCCGGCGAUGGAUCGCCGUCGCCCCGACCUCCUCCGGCCGCCGCCGCGCCGCCGGGAACACAUGGAACCCGAGAGCAAGCCGCGGCUUGAUCUCCUCCGCCACGCCACUGGCCGCCUCCCGCCGCCGGCCAGCAGGUUCCCCGGACCCCUCGGACCAGCUGCUCCCAUCUCCGGCCGAAGCGCUCGCCGUCCGGCCGCCGCCGGCCAGCCCUAGCACUGCCCUGGCCGGUAAGCAACGUUUUUGCUGUCCUGUACAUGAUUUCCUGUUCUAGUCACUUUUCCGGCGACCCGAGGCUGUUCCGAUGCCUCCGGGGGUGAGCACGGUGAUGGUCUGUCAGUCCUGAUCGCAGUGCUCACCUCACUUAGGGUCAUAGAGCUCCGGAUGAGUUAGUUACAUGUGUUUUAGUUUCAGUGCGCGCAGUUUACUGAAUUUCGCGUCGCUCGUGCGCUCCCCACAGUGGCCGGAAUUGCUCCGAAAGGUGAGCACGGCCUCCGGCACGCCGAGACCUGUCAGUAGGUGUCUCGGUUUGGCUGAAUGACUCCUAGUUUGUGUAGACGGACCAUAAAAGCGCCGAAAUCGCAUGAAAUAAUGCGAUUUCGGGUAAUCGGGAGGGAUUUUAUGUAUUUUGAGUUGUUGCGGCUGCUGUUGGCAGCAUGGAUGAAUUGUGGGUGACCUCUGGACUGAUUGUCCAAGGCCCCGGACCUUUGCAAAGAUCGGAAAUGUAUUUCCGGUGUGUUUGUCGGCAAAAUCCGCCGACGGAACGCGGUUUUGGCUCGGAAUUAUUCCGACGGUGCUUCGUGAGCUAUUGUGUAGUCGCUGAGCCUUAUUGGCUGGUCACCCGUGUCAUUUCGAGGGUUCGGAAAUGACGGGUGAGCGACGGUGGGUUCCGGUGUCGAAAUAGACACUUCCGGGAACCCGGAUCGGAAUAAUUAUCCGACGAUAAUCGUUUCGAUGUGAGGCUAGGUGUUUGCUGCCAUGAUGCACGAUUUCUUAUGUUUAGUGGCAGCGGAUGACUCGUAGCACGAGUCGGUACGUUCCGGGACAGUUCGUGGGUCCCGACGGAGUCCCGGUGCGAUUUCGGGACUUCCGGCGAGUUACGAUAGUUGGUUUUAGGAAACCGAUCAUCGUGGGUUUGUUUGUGAGGUUGUGAGAGCUAGUGGUUUGUUAUUUGUGGGUUAGACACUAACCCAGGGGACCCUCCUUAGGUCCUGUUGACGUUCUUUUGCAGUCAGGAGACAGACGCGACAGUUGUACAGGUGGGUACUUCGAUCCGACGUUGGUACAGUGGUUCACGCUCGGUGAUGGCUUCUUACCCUUGCUCUUUUGUUAUUCUCCAUGCUUAUGUUAUAUGUUGAGCCUUGCACCUCUAUUGUUUGCAUUACACCCACGUUGUUUGAUUAUACUCUACUCAGAUGUUUCCAUGCUUAGUAUCAUGUGUAGGAGUAUAGUCUAUCUGUAUGUGAUACCAUGUUUCCUUGUUGCUCUACUUAGCUAUUCUGCAUACCCUGUUUCAUAUUUAUAGUAGAGCGAUUCUGUGAUUAUCUGUGAGAUUAGCGAUCUAGUCGGUCGAUUCUAAUAUUCAGUAUUUGUGACAUGAUUGGUCAAGUUUCAUAUCCUGUACUUGUGACAUGAUUGGUCGAGUUUCAUAUCCCGUACUUGUGACAUGAUUGGUCGAGUUUCAUAUCCCGUACUUGUGACAUGAUUGGUCGAGUUUCAUACCCUAUACUUGUGACCUGGUUGGUCGAUUUGAUUACUUGAUGACCCAUGCGGUCGAUGGGCCCUGGGGGGCAGGAUUGUCGGCUGGUUGCCGACGGUUGAUCAUUGAGCAUAUUGCAUUGAUUGCCCGAUACUCGUCGCAUUUCACGAACACUGGCGGUCUGAUCCACCGCAAGGAGUGUUCUUUUCCGGAAAAGUGGUUGAAUGGUGACAACCCGUGAGCCCUAUAGAGGUUAUAUGCAUAUUAGAGCGGCAGUGGUACUGUCGGGAGGUGUUGCGGUGCGGACCUCCAGGGCAUUGGCUUGAGGUCUGCGGUGCUGACCAAGAGAGCAUUGGUUUCAGAUUGGGUACUUUUGGACUGAUUGUUCCAUUGACGCAUAUGUUUAUAGUAGCAGUCGUUGCAUGCAUACUUACAGAUCUUACUUUAUAAUUGUCUUGCUACUAUAAUAGAUAUUCAUGUAUGCUUUCUGUUCCAGUUACAGUAGUGGUAGCCAUUAUUCAGUCUAGCUCCUGCUCUCUUUCAGUUUAUUGCUACUGUAUCUAGUAUAUCUGCUCAUUACCUUAUACAUCUCUUACGUUUACUACUGUUCCUACUACAUUUUCACUGACCCUUGUUGUUACUUAGCUCUCCCUGAUCCGGUGAGUACUCCUCGCCUUCAUCGGCUUGCGGUACCCACUGGGAGGGGAGACAUGUUUUACAUGUUCUCACCUCCCCCACCAUUUUUUUCAGGUAUCGCGGGCGUUGAGUAGUGGGACGAGACGUGAGGUACGUGUAUAGCGGUCGAUAGAGCUUCCGACCCAGGUUAUUUCGAUUUAGCUAUUACCCUUUUAUUUCUGUGGAUAUAUAUAGCUUAGUCGGUUUACAUGGUUCAGUUUUGUUUUAUUAUUUGAAUAUCUAAGUUUUCAGUUGGUUUUGGAAUUGUGUUUUCUUGAAAUAAAAGGUUUUCUACCCCUCGUGGUAGCGUUUCUUAAAGAAUAAAGGUUUUCGUGUAGGGAACAGUUUUCAAAAGAAUUUUCGUGAAUUUCUAUUUAAACACUGAAUGUAAAUCUGUGAUGUGAAUGGUGAAUGUAUGAAUGUAUAAUUAUCUUCAUAUUCAUUUGGUUGUGGUUGUUUCCUGGCUAUGGUCUUGUACUUGUGCGACGCCGUGCAAAUACAGGGGAGACUCUGUCCGUGUGAACAGUGGAUUCCAUGUAUUUGUGGCGGAUCUGGCAUACCCUGGGGUCAAGUUUGCAAAAAAAAAAAAAAAAAAAUUUCAGACGCUUUUCCGCUACCUUUUUAACCUGAAGGGACCCCGGGGCGUGACAGAUUAAAGUGGUAUCAGAGCGAGGUUACAACCACAACACUAUUCACAUGUUGUUUUUGAAAAGUAAAUGAAACUGAACCAUUGGUUAGGUUGACCAAUAGGAAGACCACGGUGUAUAGGCACGUGAGUGCGGGGUUUGGACUUGUGUCCUGGGUUGCAUUCGAGUUUGGUAAACUCGAAGUGCAUGGUGUUUCUGUACGUGUUACGGUUCGCACAAGCUAGUGCCUAAGUCGGGGGUUGUGGCAGUGUACUUAUUCGGACAUCGAGUGGUGGGGCGACAUUCCCCAGGUGUUGCCAUUCCUGUCAAGUGGGGCCUUGAAGGGCCAAGUGAGAUUUUCGGGCCUAGGCGAUUGUUAUAACCGCCGACGCCCAGGCUACUCUCUCAACUUAGGACACGAGAGCUACUGCGAGUGUCUCUACGGAGAUGGUACUUAGACCUGCUAAGGUCGCAACUNGCAGAUAUCAACCAUUAAAAAUUAUAAAUUUUGAAUCAUUUCGAUCACUAGGUAAAUGAUAUAAAAAAAUCGUAAAAAUUAUUUUCUAGAAACUUCAAAUGCGCUAGAUCAAGUCUAACGGAGCCGAUCGUCGAUUUGAAAAUUCGAUCAUCGAAAACGGCUCAGGAGCCUUGCUCUCUCUCUCUCUCUCUCUCUCUCUCUCUCUCUCUCUCUCUCUCUCUAUAUAUAUAUAUAUAUAUAUAUAUAUAUAUAGAGUCCGGCUACUAUACUCUUAUGUGUACGAUCGUCUUUGUACUCAUAAGUUGUUUUUGAUGAUAGAGCUUCCGAAUUGAUGAUCCAUACCAUUAAACAUUAUCUAGAGCAUUUAAAACUUCUAAAAAUCAAAUUUUAUAAUUUUUCGAAAUCAUUUACUUUACGAUCAAAAGCUCACAAAAUUGACAAUUUUUAACGGUCGGUAUGAGAUAUUUGUUAGUUUAAUGGUGAAAAAGAAUCGGAAUAGGUUGAAUCUUUUAUAGAAAAUUUUAUUCACUACCUAAAUAAAGAUCAAUAACUCCGAUCUUAAAUUGAAGGAUCCGAUUAUCUAUUUUUAGGAUGUCGUUCGAUCUUAACCAUUCAUUUUAUACCCGCUUGAUGGACUUUAUAAUGAUUUCAAAAAAUUUCGAAAUUUAUUUUCUAGAAGUUUCAAAUACUCUAGAUCAUGUUUAACGGUGUGGUUCGUCGAUUCGAAAAUCCCAACAUCGAAAACAACUUAUGAGUACGAAGGGCUCUAUACUCAUAAGAGUAUAUAUAGUAGCCAUACUCAUAUAUAUAUAUAUAGAGUCCGGCUGGGGUACUAUCGAUAGCACCAAAGAUUUGGUGCUAUUGAGUUUUUCACCGUUAGAUUUAACCCUUUGAUUAUAUUUACCCGUUAGAUUAUACUAUUCAACCAACCACUCACUCAACCCUAGGGGGCCCACAUCAUCCUAACCACCCAUUUCUCAAUCCAAGGGCUAAAAAAUCAAUAGCACCAAUAGCUUGGUGCUAUUGAUAGUAUUCCAGCCUAAUUCUAUAUAUAUAUAUAUAUAUAUAUAUAUAUGAGUUGGUCUUGUGUGCUAUUAGGAGCACAGAACUCUCCAUGCUCUUAAGCCGUUUUUGACGAUGAAGCUUUCGAAUCGACGAAAAAUGUGGUGAUAUAGCACUAAAAUUUUAGAUCAGAGAUAUUAAUCUUGUUGUAAAUAGUAUAAAAAAUUUUCUAUUGAAAUUUCAUCUGAUUUGAAUACUUCUACACCGUUAAACUUGCAAACAGUAUACAUUAACCAUUAAAAAUUGUUGAUUUUUAUUCUUUUCGAUCACUAGGUAAAUGAUAUCGAAAAAUCAUAAAAUUUAUUUUCUAGAUACUUCAAAUACGCUGGAUCAAGUUUAACGGAGCCGAUCGUCGAUUCAAAAACUCCAUCAUUAAAAACGGCUUAGGAGCACGAAGGCCUCCUUACUCCUAAUAGCACACAAGACCAUAUAUAUAUAUAUAUAUAUAUAUAUAUAUAGAGAGAGAGAGAGAGAGAGAGAGAGAGAGAGAGAGCUAGUCUCCUAUAUUAUUUAUAGUAUUGGGGCUCCGGUACUAUAGUCUCGUUUUCGAUCUUAGGGUGUUCAAAUCAACGAUCCACACUGUUAAAACUGAUCUAGGGUAUUUAAAGUUUUUAAAAAUAAAAUUUUAUAUUUUUUUCGACAUAGUUUACUUUAUGAUCAAACCAUUUCAAAAUUGUCAAUUUUCAAUGGCUACUACGGCGAGUUUGGAGUUUAACGGUAUAGACGAAUCUAAAUUUCUUCAAAUUUUGAUAGAAAAUAAUUUAAAGUAUCUAAAUUAAGGUUAAAAUUCUUGAUCUUGAAUUUAAAAGUCCUAGACUCAAAUUUUAAAGAUUAUUCAAUUUCCACCUCCCAUUUUGAUAUAAUUUAUUUACUAAGUAAACGAUGUCAAAAAAAAUUAAAAUUUUAUUCCUAAGAACUUCAUAUAUCCUAAAUCAUAUUUAACGGUAUGGAUCAUUAAUUUGAACACCCUAAGAUCGAAAAUAAGACUUUAGUACCGGAGCUCCUGUACUAUAGGUAGUAUAGUAGCCUAAUUAUAUAUAUAUAUAUAUAUAUAUAUAUAUAUAUAUAUAUAAAGAGAGAGAGAGAGAGAGAGAGAGAGAGAGAGAGAGAGAGUCCGGCUGGGAUACUAUCGAUAGUACCACGCGCUUGGUGCUACCGAAUUUUCUACCGUUAGAUUUAUCCCUUUCAUCAUUUCUAACCGUUAAAUCAUACUAUUCAACCAACCACCCGCUCAACCCUAGGAGACAACUAUCAACUUAACCAGGGACCACUAUCAUCCUAACCGCACAUUCUUUCAUCUAAGGGCCGAAAACCUAGUAGCACCAAUGACUUGGUGCUAUUAAUAGUAUUCCAGCCAAAUUCUAUCUAUAUAUUUGUGUUCAUGUGCUGGGCUUUCAAUGUGGAGGAUUCGGGUUUAGAAUUUAGGUAAAAUAAUGAUGCUUUGGAUUUAAUAAUGAUAAUUGGGAUUAAGUAAUUAAUGAUUAGAGAGAAUAAUAAUAAUGUCAUAUCAUCAAUAACUAGUGUAGGACACGCGAUACGGCGAGUAAAAGUUUUUUUUAAAAAAAAAAGAACCCGGAGUACAAAAUGUGCACCAAGAGAUUUAUCAUUUAUCAAUCCAAAAAGAAGAGAGAAGAUGAGAUGAAAAGAAAUAGCAAUACCUAGUGAAAAUCAAACAAAUUUGAGUGCUCGAUCUCAUUGUGACAUCCAUUAAGGGCUCGAAGAGCGUGGUAUCGAAGAUGAUGGAGGCGAAACCUAGGGUUUCAACAGCAUCAUGGUGGCUUAGAAUAGAGAUGUUGUUGAUCUUAUGAUGUACUGGCUUACCUUCUUCCAAGUGAUCUUGAUGACAGCAGUCGCCUCUUGAAACGGGAGGAACAGCAGCAGAGUGCGGUGACGCUGUUGUGGGGUUUCGUCAUCAGUCAUGCAGAAUGAUCAAAGCCUUAGAAAACAAAAAAGGAAGAGGGAAGAAAAGAACGAGAUGUGGAUGGAGCAGUUGGCGACAGUAUCAACAUCGUCACCGUCCUUUGGAGAGCACGUAAUGCUAAUGAAGGCGACAGUCGAAAGGCUCCAAGUUGAGAUACGAGGAGGGAAGGAGUGGAAAUAAUAGAAUGGAGAUGAUGGUUGGAGCACCACAGCGAAUAAAAAAUAUUCAUUUGGGAGAGAAGACAAAACAACAGGUAAAGAAGAGAGCUGAAAAAUUAUUAAUUGGGAGGAAAGACAAAGUGGAUGAAAAAUAUUAAUUGAGAAGGGAAGGCGAAAAAGCAAGAUAAAAACGAGGAAAUCGAAAAAAAUAUUAAUUAGAGAAAGAAGACAAAACAGCAAAAAAAGAAGAGAAAACUGAAAAGUCGAGUUCUUUUUCUAUACAUAGAGGAGGGGAGGUAGACCCCACACCCACCGCUGAAGCUGACACUAUGUAUUAUUGAGAAUUCAUAUAUUGUUAUAAAUAUUCUAAGAUACAAGUUGGAGUACUUGUAGCAGCACUCUUUAAAAAGCGAAAAGAAAAAAAAAAGAAAAAAAAAAAGAAGAAGGUAAAGACAGGGCUUAACUACACUAUACUAGAUUGUACUUUGGUAUUAUAUUUUUUUUACUUUUUUUUUUGAAAGAUACUUUUGUAUUAUUGUAUUUUAUCAAUCUUUACACUAUAUUUUAGAUUUAUUUUUAUUUUUUUACCUUUUUGUAUUUUGUUUUCUCAUAGAUGUCACUAAAUUAUUUUUUUUCUGCCAAUAUCUAUAUUACUGUUAAUAAAUUUAUUAGUUUAGAUAAAAUCUAAAAACUUUAUUAAGAAACAGUGGGUAAAUCGUAGAAAAUAUAGAAUAAAUCUCCAUAAUAGACUGAUUAAAAUAUACUAUCAAAUUAUUUUUAAUUAUUUUUUGUUUUUUUUAUUUUUUUUUAUUUUACAUGUCAAAAUGAAUUGAAUAUAUGCGUUGCCACUUUUAACCGGUACUUUUUUAUAAUUUUUAUAUAAAAUUAUAGAUUUAUUACGCAUACUGUAGGAGUUGAAAAAAACCCAAAUAGUUGAAUGGUGUCUUUGGAGAAAAAAAAAAAAUUAUAAUAAGUGAAAAAUAAAGCUACAAACUGUAAUGUAGUAUUGUAUAAUUAACUCUAAAAUAUACCAACUAUAUAGACUCUUUUAAGUUGGCUUCUCAAUAUUUAAAAAUUUUGAAUUUUACUAUCUAUUCUUUCAGUUUAUUUGAUUUAAAUCAGUCAAUGGCACUUCAACUUAAAAAUUUGAAUAUAUCGUUUAUUUUUACAAAUUUAGUUAAUAUACUUCAUGUUAUUUUCGCAGCUAUAAAUUUGUUAAAUCCAAUAAUAGUUUACAACUUUAAAGUCCUUCAAUAUCAUUGACUAACUCAAAUCAAAUGAAUUAGCAUGUUGGGGAGUAAAAUUGAAAUUUUGAAAGAUUGAAUAGCCGAAUCAAAAUAGUCCAUAGUUUAGAUAAGUUCUAUGCGUUUCAAAAGAGUAAAGGAAAAACUUCAAAACAGUCCCAUGCUAUUUAAUCGCAUUUUGUUUUGCUACACUCUGAUUUUGUUUUCAAUUUACCGUACAGAUUUGCAGUUAAACAAGAUAGCAUAAUCUUAUAAUUUAUAAGACUACUGCAGGAAAGUAAAGUUCUAUAAUUUAUAACCCACAAUAUUUUAGAAGUUACCGUUUUAACUUUGCUCUCCUAUGGUUUAUAAAUUAUGACAUUUUUGAUAUCUUAUAUAACGGCAGAUCUUUGAACAAGUUCCAAAGGGCCGCCCAGUUUCCAAGCCCAAGCUGACCCUGACAGUAGAAAAACGGCCUUGAGAGAAGGGCCCAAGCGGGAGAGGAAAGAGGAGGGGAAGUAGUAGGAAUACAAAUAGAUCCGGAUCGGUGGAGAUCCUGUCCUAAUCCAUCCCGAAUAAGAUGGUAAGUAUAAUUCUAUAUAGUCCGGCUACUAUACUAUCAAUAGUACCAAACCCUUAGUACUAUUGAGUUUUCUACCGUUAGAUCUACCCUUUGAUCAUUUCCACCCGUUAGAUUAUACUAUUAAACCAACCACCCACUCAACCCUAGGGGACCACUAUCAAUUUAACCAAGGACCAUUAUCAUCCUAAUCGCACAUCUAUUAAUCCAAUGGCCGAAAACUCAAUAGUAUCAAGGGCUUAGUACUAUUGAUAGUAUAGUAGCAUAAUUCUAUAUAUAUAUAUAUAUGUAUAUAUAUAUAGAGAGAGAGAGAGAGAGAGAGAGAGAGAGAGAGUAGGUCUUGUGUGCUGUUAGGAGCACGGAGGCCUCCGUGCUCCUAAGCCGUUUUCGAUGAUAGAGCUUGUGAAUCGACGAUCAGCUCCUUUAGACUUGAUAUAGCGUAUUUGAAGUAUCUAGAAAAUAAAUUUUGCGAUUUUUCGAUAUGAAAUACCUAGCGAUCGAAAGGGUUCGAAAUCAACGGCUGAAAAUAAAAAUCUCACAGAAAGUGGUGAUAUACCACUAAAAUUUUCAAUCAAAGAUAUUGACCUUGCAGUAAAUAAUAUAAAAAAAAUUUUAUCAAAAUUUUAUCUGAUUUGAAUAUUUUUACACCAUUAAACUUGCAAACGAUAUAUAUCAACCAUUAAAAAUUAUUGAUUUUGAACCCUUUUGAUCGCUAGGUAAAUAAUAUCGAAAAAUCACAAAAUUUAUUUUCUAGAUACCUUCAAAUAUGCUAGAUCAAGUCUAACGAAGCCGAUCGUCGAUUCGAAAACUCCAUCAUCGAAAACCGCUUAAGAGCACGAAGGCCUCCGCGCUCCUAAUAGCACACAAGACCUCUCUCUCUCUCUCUCUCUCUCUCUCUCUCUCUCUCUCUCUUUAUAUAUAUAUAUAUAUAUAUAUAUAUAUAUAUAUAUAUAUAUAGAGUUGAGCUGGAAUACUAUCGAUAGCAAACGGGCUCCGUUGCCACCCAUUUGUUUUCGAUGAUGGAGCCUCAAAAUAGACGAUCGGUACCGUUGAAAAUGAUCUAUACCACUUGAAGUAUUUAGACAUCAAAUUUCAUGCUUUUUCGAUAUUAUUCUCUUGUUCAUCGAGUGAAAAUGAACGACUGAAAAUAAAUAUCCUCUAAAAAGUGAUGAUAGGAAUUUUGUAAUCAAGAUCGAGAGUAUAAAUCUUAUUCUAAAUAGUUUAAAGAAUUUUCUAAAACUAAAAAUUCAAUUGAUUUGGAUAGCUUUGCACCGUUAAAAAGAAAACGUCUCAUAUAGAGCUUAUUAUAAAUUACAAAUUUUGAAACCCUUUGAUCAUUAGUCAAUAAUAGAACAGAUUUGAAAUUUUAUUUCGUAAAUACUUCAAGUGGCAUAGAUCAUGUUCAAUGUGCCCGAUCCGUCGAUUUGACGGCUCCAUCAUCGGAAAAAAAAUAGGUGGUCAACAAGGCAUGUUUGCUACUAAUACGUCGGUAGCAUUCCAGCUCAAACUUCUCUAAGCCAGACGUCUUUUUCUCUCUCAUCUCUCUCUCCUCUCUCUCUCUCUCUCUAUAUAUAUAUUACUAUUAUAUAUAAAUAGAGAGGAGAGAGAGAGAGAAGAUAGAGAGAGAUGAGAGAGUCCAGCUACAAUGCUAUCGAUAGCAACCAAGUAUUUACACCAAGUAUUAGUGCUAUCAAGUUUUCUGCCUUUAGAUCAACCCUUUGACCAUUUUCAUCCGUAGAUCAUAACCUAUUGCAACCAACCACAUCCACUCAACGCCUAGGGGAAUCCACUAUCAAUCCUAACCUACUCGCUUCAAUCAAAGAGCCGAAAAUUUAAUUAGCACCAAUACUUAUGUGGUUUUAGAUAAGGUAUUCUACCUAAGUUAUAUAUAUAUGUAUAUAUACAUGAUUCAUAUACAUAUAUAUAUGUAUAUAUAAUAUAUAUAUAUUAUAUAUAUAUGUAUAUAUAUACAUAUAUUACAUUAUAUAUGUAUAUAUGUAUAUAUAUAUAUAGAAUGAGCUCCUAUGCUUUUAAAAGUAGCCAGUGAUUGGUGCUUUGGUAAGUUUUCGAGCCCUUGGAUUAUAGGGAUUGUGAGGUUAGGCAUGUAUGUGGGCCCCCUAGAGUUGAAUGGUGGUUUGGUUAAUAGUAUAAUCUACGGAUAAAAAUGAUGCAAGGUUAUGAUCUAAUGGUAAAAACAAUUACAAGACCAAGUGCUACUGUGCUUUUACAUAGCACCAUAGGCCGGACUUUAUAUAUUAUAUAUAUAUUAUAUAAUAUAUAUAUAUAUAUAUAUAUAUAUAUAUAUAUAUAUAUAUAGUAUGUCUUGUGUGCUAUUAGGAGCACGGAGGCCUCCGUGCUCCUAAGCCGUUUCGAUGAUGGAGCUUCCGAAUCGACGAUCGGCUCCAUUAGACUUGAUCUAGUAUAUUUGAAGUAUCUAGAAAAUAAAUUUUAUGACUUUUCGAUAUCAUUUACCUAAGAAUCGAAAGUGUUCAAAAUCAACGGCUAAAAAUAAAAAUCUCACAAAAAGUGUUGAUAUAGCAUUAAAAUUUUCGAUCAAACAUAUUGAUCUUGCUGUAAAUAGUAUAAAGAAUUUUCUAUCAAAAUUUCAUCUGAUUUGAAUACUUCUACACCGUUAAACUUGCAAAUGGUAUACAUCAACCAUUAAAAAUUGUUGAUUUUGAAACCCUUCGAUUGCUAGGAAAAUGAUACCGAAAAAGCACAAAAAUUAUUUUCUAGAUAGUUCAAAUACGCUAGAUCAAGUCUAACGGAGCCGAUCGUCGAUUCGGAAGCUCCAUCAUCGAAUACAGAUUAGGAGCAUGGAGGCCUCCGUGCUCCUAAUAGCACACAUGACCUACUAUAUAUAUNUGGUUGAUAUCUGCCAUUUUCAAGUUUAACAAUGUAGAAGUAUUCAAAUCAGAUGAAAUUUUGAUACAAAAUUCUUUAUACUAUCUACAACAAGAUUAAUAUUUCUGAUCGAAAAUUUUAGUGCUAUAUCACCACUUUUUAUAGAAUUUUUAUUUUCAGCCGUUAAAAAUUAUUGAUUUUGAAUCCUUUCGAUUGCUAGGUAAAUUAAAUCAAAAAAAUCGUAAAAAUUAUUUUCUAGAAACUUCAAAUACGCUAGAUCAAGUCUAACGGAGUCGAUCAUCGAUUCGGAAACUCCAUUAUCGAAAACGGCUCAGGAGCAUGGAGGCCUCCGUGCUCCUGAGAGCACAGCAGCCCUGCUAUAUAUAUAUAUAUAUAUAUAUAUAUAUAUAUAUAUACAACUUGGUAGCACGGAGGCCUCCGUGCUACCGAUAGUAUACCAGCCUAGCUCUCUCCUUCUCUCUCACUCUCUCUGUAAUACCCUUCAUUUUGAGUUGGUCUAGGGGCAUAGUGGUCAUUUUUUUUGGAUAAGGAUGCCACCACCCUUUUCAUGUUUAUCCCUUCAAAUUAACAGAGAGUUUGCAUUUUUUUUGCUCUCUCUAGUUAAUUACGUGCAUGGUGGAGAGCACGGGUAGAGGUAGCCGAGGAGCUCGAAUUCGACGCCGACGACGCGCCGCGAAGUCGUUCGAGGGUACGGUUGGGAUCGUAGCACUGCGAGGAAGAUAGGCGAGGGUGUAUUUUCGCCGUUCUCGACGCCGCAUCGAUGUCCAAUUAGCCUUUGAGGUGAGUGUUCCGUUGCAUUGCUUCAAGUAUUAUCAUUUCGAGCUUGGUGCUGAUUUGCAGAAUUUCCAGCGCCGACCGUCGGUAUUUCAGUUCGUACUCGGCGUAGGAGUGUCGGGUUUCGACGGGAGUUGGUUCGUUGGAUUCGAGACUUCGAGAGGAAUCCACGAAGCCCUUACUUGCUGGAUUUGGUAACGGUUUGCUAGGUCGGAAUUUCGCUCUUCUCUGUUGCUGUUUUUGGAGGCAGAGUUAAUGUUUAUUGUCGGAUUCUCCGUGUAGAGUUUAGCGGGAGCUUGACUUUGGGCCUUGGGAGGUUUUCGGACGUUUCAGCAGGUUGUUCCGUAGCCGAGGGGAGUUCCGUGCUGCCAGGGAUUAGCGAUCGAGGUGGGUUAUAUCGGUUUAUUCCUAAGUAUUAUAGUAGUCGACAUGUAUGAUUUCCUGUUUUUGUAAAUCAUGUGGUAGCUCAAUUUCGUCGAUUGUAUAAUGAAUGAAAUUAGCUUGAGAGAAUGACUUGUAACUAUAAAUAUAUAUGUUGGACUUAGAAUUAAACUUAGGAGAAAACCAGCGUUCGGGACCUGGCAUAUGUUAAACUACCUGAUUUAGCCUAGGAGCCGUUGUAUUAUUUUAUACUGUUGCAGUAUCCUCAUAGUGAGUAUUCCAGGUAGUUUAGUUUUUAGUUACGCUCGUGCUGGGAUGCCGAGUGUAUUUUUACAGUAGAGUUCAGGCUGUUCCGGACUGUUGGAUGCCGUCGGAGUUGACGGUGGACUCGUAUCGCCUUUUUGGCGUUAGAUUGUGCCGAGGGCACGUUAUCUGUUGGUUGUUAGACCAGUUAGAGUCGGUUACUUGACUUAGCCUGUGAGAGCGGUAUGAACUUGACAGAGAUACUUGUAAACUCGUUGGGUCGCGCCCACGAAUGCCAUUCCGGAAUGAGGUUUCAGUGCGAUGAGUGUCGCAGUUUCUGUUGGACAGUUCUUGAGCCGGCUACCCUCAGGGUGGUGUACGGCGCAGCUAGAUACAGGCAGAGUGGGUCCGUUUUGGGCAGCCCGGGUGAGAUAGUGAGUGACGCUUUUCCCUACCUUUGGUGAAGUUGUGACGUGAGUGGAGUCUUAGCCGUCCUGUUGGACCUUUUCUAGAACCGACUACUCUUGUGAUAUGGUGUAGUCUAAUUAGGCGAGACGGGUGUAUUCACAGUCUUUAGAGAGUUUUCUCCGCCGGUUACUCUUAAGAUACGGUGUAGUCUAGUAGAUGAGAGGGGUGCAUUCACAGUCUCUAGAGAGUCUUCUCCGCCGGUUACUCUCGAGCUACGGCGUCACCUAAUUAGACGGGAUGGAUGUAUUCACAGUCCCUAGAGAGUUUUCUCCACCAGCUACUCCUAGAGUAGGUUACGGGUUCGAUCCGACAGGCGGGACGGGUGUGUUCAUAUUCCCUAGUGAGAUUGAGUUAGUUAUGACUUUUACUACAGUUGGUUAGUGUAGAUCAUGCUAGCGUAGCGAUAUGUAGCGGUAUAUUUCUUUCUAGCUUUUCCUGCUAGCCUUGUUACCUUCUGUAGACUUAGUGGGUGGAUCGAUGAUUGUUGAGGGCGGCACCCACUGAGGACUACUUGUUUCUACAGUAGUUCUCACGCCCAGUUGUUACUCCGUUUUUGCACAGUUUUCGUCUUCGGCUGCUGCUGUUGUUGGUCAGGAGCUAGGCAAGGGNCGAAGCUCCGGUACUAUAGUCUUGUUUUCGAUUGUAGAGUGUUCAAAUUAACGAUCCACACCGUUAAAUAUGAUUUAGGGUAUAUGAAAUUCUUAGUAAUAAAAUUUUAGCUUUAUUCAACAUCGUUUAUUUAGUAAAUAAAUUAUGUCAAAAUGAACGGUGAAAAUUGAACAAUCUUUAAAAUUUGAGCAUAGGACUUCUAAAUUCAAGAUCAAGAAUGUUGACCUUGAUCUAGAUCUAGAUCUAGAUAGUUUAAAGUAUUUUCUAUCAAAAUUUGAAAAAAAUUUAGAAUCUUCUUCACCCUUAAACUCCAAACUCGCCGUAGUAGCCAUUGAAAAUUGACAAUUUUGAAAUAGUUUGAUUAUAAAGUAAACUAUGUCGAAAAAAUAUAAAAUUUUAUUUUUAAAAUCUUUAAUUAUCCUAGAUCAGUUUUAACGGUGUGGAUCGUUGAUUUGAACACCCUAAGAUCGAAAACGAGAUUAUAAUACCGGGCCCCGCUACUAUAGAUAGUAUAGGAGCCUAAUUCUAUAUAUAUAUAUAGAGUUGAGCUAGAAUACUCUCGAUAGUAAACGGGGCGUUUUACUAUCGAGUUGUUUUCAAUGAUAGAGCUUCCAAAUUGACGAUCGGNNNNNNNNNNNNNNNNNNNNNNNNNNNNNNNNNNNNNNNNNNNNNNNNNNNNNNNNNNNNNNNNNNNNNNNNNNNNNNNNNNNNNNNNNNNNNNNNNNNNNNNNNNNNNNNNNNNNNNNNNNNNNNNNNNNNNNNNNNNNNNNNNNNNNNNNNNNNNNNNNNNNNNNNNNNNNNNNNNNNNNNNNNNNNNNNNNNNNNNNNNNNNNNNNNNNNNNNNNNNNNNNNNNNNNNNNNNNNNNNNNNNNNNNNNNNNNNNNNNNNNNNNNNNNNNNNNNNNNNNNNNNNNNNNNNNNNNNNNNNNNNNNNNNNNNNNNNNNNNNNNNNNNNNNNNNNNNNNNNNNNNNNNNNNNNNNNNNNNNNNNNNNNNNNNNNNNNNNNNNNNNNNNNNNNNNNNNNNNNNNNNNNNNNNNNNNNNNNNNNNNNNNNNNNNNNNNNNNNNNNNNNNNNNNNNNNNNNNNNNNNNNNNNNNNNNNNNNNNNNNNNNNNNNNNNNNNNNNNNNNNNNNNNNNNNNNNNNNNNNNNNNNNNNNNNNNNNNNNNNNNNNNNNNNNNNNNNNNNNNNNNNNNNNNNNNNNNNNNNNNNNNNNNNNNNNNNNNNNNNNNNNNNNNNNNNNNNNNNNNNNNNNNNNNNNNNNNNNNNNNNNNNNNNNNNNNNNNNNNNNNNNNNNNNNNNNNNNNNNNNNNNNNNNNNNNNNNNNNNNNNNNNNNNNNNNNNNNNNNNNNNNNNNNNNNNNNNNNNNNNNNNNNNNNNNNNNNNNNNNNNNNNNNNNNNNNNNNNNNNNNNNNNNNNNNNNNNNNNNNNNNNNNNNNNNNNNNNNNNNNNNNNNNNNNNNNNNNNNNNNNNNNNNNNNNNNNNNNNNNNNNNNNNNNNNNNNNNNNNNNNNNNNNNNNNNNNNNNNNNNNNNNNNNNNNNNNNNNNNNNNNNNNNNNNNNNNNNNNNNNNNNNNNNNNNNNNNNNNNNNNNNNNNNNNNNNNNNNNNNNNNNNNNNNNNNNNNNNNNNNNNNNNNNNNNNNNNNNNNNNNNNNNNNNCGGAAAACAGAUUUAAUACCUGGCCCGCUACGUCCCGCGUACUUAGAUAGUAUAGAGACUGAGCUAUCUUUAUAUAUAUGUAUAUAUAUAUAUUAUAUAAAAAUAUAAUAUAUAAUAUAUAUAUAUAUAUAUAAUUAUAUGUAUAUAAUAAUAAUACUAUCGGUAGUAAACGAGCCGUUUUACUACCGAUUUGUUUCGAUGAUAGAACUUCCAAAUUGACGAUCGGCUCCAUUGAACAUGAUCUAUACCACUUGAAGUGUGUUAGAAAUCAAAUUUCAAAUUUUUUGACAUAAUUUGCUAUGAUCAAAGGUUUGCAAAAUUGUGUAAUUUAAUGGUCGAUAAAAGGUCGUUUUCUCGUUUAACGGCGUAAGAUAUCCAAAUCAAUUGAAUUUUUGUUAGAAAUUUUUUAAACAAUAUUUAAAAUAGAGAUCAAUACUCUUGAUCUUGAUUACAAACUCCUAGUCAUCAUUUUUUAAAGAGUAUUCAUUUUCAGCCGGUUCAUUUUCUGUUCACUUGAUGGAUAAAAGAACAAUAUCGAAAGUGCGUGAAUAUUGAUUUCUAGUAAUUUAAUGGUUUAGAUCAUAUUUACGGAGCCGAUCAUCAAUUGGAAGCUCUAUCAUCGAAAACAAAUCGGUAGUAAAACGGCUCGUUUACUACGAUACGUUAUUCUAGCCUCAAACUCUAUAUAUAUAUAUAUAUAUAUAGAACUAGGCUGGAAUACUAUCAAUAGCACCAAAUCCUUAGUGCUAUCGAUAGUACCCCAACCUAGUUCUCUCUCUCUCUCUCUCUCUCUCUCUCUCUCUCUCUCUCUCUCUCUCUAUAUAUAUAUAUAUAUAUAUAUAUAUAUAGUAGGGCUACUAUACUAUUAUGAGUAUUGGGCCCUUCGUAUUCAUAAGUUGUUUUCAAUGAUGGAGCUUCCGAAUCGACGAUCCACUCCGUUAAAUAUGAUCUAGAGUAUUUGAAUCUUCUCGAAAAUAAAUUUCGUAAUUUUUCGAAAUCAUAAUAAAGUCCAUCAAACGGCAUAAAAUGAACGGUCAAAAUCGAAUGAUGUCUUAAAAAUGGAUGAUCGGAUCAUUCAAUCUAAGAUCGGAGUUAUUAAUCUUUAUCUAGGUAGUGAAUAGAAUUUUCUAUCAAAAAUUCAAGCUAUUCGGAUUCUUUUGCGCUGUUAAACUAGCAAGUAUUCCAUACCGACCGUUAAAAAAUGUCAAUUUUGUGAGCUUUUAAUCGUAAGGUAAAUGAUGCCGAAAAAUUAUGAAAUUUGAUUUCUAGAUGUUUCAAAUGCUCUAGAUAACGUUUAACGGUGUGGAUCGUCGAUUCAGAAGCUCUAUCAUCGAAAACAACUUAUGAGUACGCGGGUGAUCAUACUCAUAAUUGUAUAGUAGCUGGACUAUAUAUAUAUAUAUAUAUAUAUAUAUAUAUAUAUUAUUAUACUCACUAUACUAUAUAUAAUAUAAUGGCAGCUCCUAUGCUUUUUAAACAAAAAAAAUAAAGUACAGAGUCACUUCGUGUUUUGUAAAUUUUGGCCUUGGAUUAAGGAUGUGCGGGUUUAGGAUGAGUCGGGGCCCCCGUAGGUUGAGUGGAUGAAUUGUUAAAUAGUAUAAUCUAACGGAUAAAAAUGAGCAAGCGAUGUGAUCUACGGUAAAAUAUUUACCAAGCCAUCAAGCUUGAUAUUUUUACAAGCACGAUCAAAUGACUUCCCGAUAGUAUAGUAGCGUCUACUCAUAUAUAAGAAAGAAGAGAGCAGGGCCUGCCGUGCAUCCUGGAAGCCGUUUCAGAUGACUGGAUUUCGAAUCGACGAAUCGACUCCGUUAGACUUGAUCUAAGUUAUUUUGAAGUUUCUAAAAUAAUUUUUGUGAUUUUUGAUAUCAUUUACCUAGGUGAUCGAAAAGAUUCAAAAUCAAAUAUUUUUAAAUGGUUGUAAUUUGCCGUUUUUUUAAAUUUUAAUAGUGUAGAAGUAUGUGAAAUGAUGAAAUUUUGACGACAAAAUUCUUUAUUACUUCUACACCAACAGAUCAAUUCUUUUAAUUGGAAUUUUAGUGUAUAUCAACCACUUUUUAUAGAUUUUAUUUUUCAGCCCGUUAAAAAUUAUUGAUUUGAAUUCUUUCGAUUGUACGCGUAAUGCAUUAUCGAAAAUCGCAAAAAAUUAUUUUUAGAAACGUUCAAAGUACGCUUAGAUCAAGCUCUAAACGGGAGCUGAUCGUCGAUUCGAAAAUCCGAUCAUCGAAACGGCUAGGAGCACAACGAGCCUGCUAUAUAUAUAUAAUAUAUAAUAUUAUAUUAUAUGAGAGAGAGGAGAGAUCGGGAAGACUGCGAGGUCACGAGUCUAGUGGGGGUGGAGAGAGAGACGAAGAGAGAGACGUUGAAGCUUAGAUCUCUCAAAGGCACAGAGGUUGGUGCUUUGAGUUUUUUCAAAACCCUUAGAUGGAAAAAUUGUAAAGUUUGUGAUGAUCGGUGCGGUAGAUGGUCGGUAGUGAAUUAACGUGUUUGAUCCAUGGGUAUUAGUUAAUCAAGAAUAGAUCCCCAAGGGCUAGGAAAACCUGAGAGCACAAGGGUGAUACUUCUAAAGUAUUUUUAGUUAUAUAUCUAUAUAAUCAUAUAUAUCUAUAUAUAUAUAUUAUAUGAGUAAGUCCUCAUGACUUAUUGAAAGUACGGAGACCUUUCGUACUUAUAAGUUGUUUUCCGAUGAUAGGAAAUCCGAUUCCGACGAUCGCCGCUCCUUAAAAUAUAUAAUUCACCUUAUUGGAAACAUUUAGAAAACCAAAUUUAUAAUUUUUUGACUGAUCAAUUUACCAAGGCGAUCAAAAAAGUCGUCAAAAAUGACUAUUUCAAUCGCCGAUGGCACGUUUUUAAGUUCAACGGUGUUAAGAGUAAAUCCAAUUAGAUAUGAAAAUUCAAUACGAAAAUUCUACUUAAACAUGAAUAGUCAAGCCAAUACUUCCGAUUUGAAUUUCGAGUAUUAUCACUAUGUUUAUGAGAUUGUUAUUUUUCAAGCUGUUCAUCUUUUGAGCCUAUCGUUUACUGACAAAACAAAAUCACAAAAUUAUGAAAUUUGGUUUCUAGUAGUUCCAACAGCGUUAGAUCAUGUCCUUAAACAGAAGCCGGAUCGCCGGAUCGAAUGUACCCAAUUAUUGAAAAAAACUUACAAAUACGGAGGCUCCCGCUACUCGAAGCAUAGGAGCUAUAAUAUACUACUCUAUAUAUAUAUAUAUACUAUAUAUAUUAUUAUAAUUAUAUAUUAUAUAUAUAUAUAUAUAAUAUAUAUUAUAUAUAUAUAUCACUAUAAUUUAGGCGGGGGGAGGGUGGGGGUGGGGUCAGACUACAAAAAUCGCACUACUCCGCUGUAACUUAAUUUUCAUCUAAUCCACUACUUAACACGUUCCUUAGUAUUAAAUUAAAAGUCAAUGAUAUUCAUCAUUUUAUACAUCAACCUUAACUCAUUAUUAAUAGUAAAAAACGCAUCUGGGUCUGUAUUCAAGAAUUUUACCUUUGAUUGAAAAAUGUGGAGUCAGGCAUGAAUAUAUUAGUCGGUUAGAAGUUGAGUGAUCCCGCUAGGCGUUGAGUUGGAUGGUCCUACUGGGUUAUAAUAGGUUAAUCCAAUGGUUAGAAAUAUGAAGAGUUGAUCCACAAGGCUAAAAAAACUGGUGCAACAAUAGGAUUUUUUGCUGCUAAUAGUAGCCCGCAGUCCAACUCAAUUUAUAUAUAUUAUAUAUAUAUAUAUAUAUAUAUAGUAUAUAUUAUGAUACUAUCAUAUUAAUAGCCCACUAAGUUAUUGGUGAUUAUUAGGUUUCGCCUUGGAUGAAUGAAUGUUUCCUUAGAGUAUGAUAGUGGUAUGCUAAUGUUGAGUGGGUGGUUGCGAUUGAACUAGUAUGAUAUAACAAAAGGGAAAUGAUAAAGAGAUAGUCUAAGAUCUAAUGAUUGGAAACUCUCCCUCCUCCCCCUCUCUCUCAUCCUUCCUCCCUCUCCUCUUCGUCGCGAGUCCUGAUCUUCUCUCUCCUCUAGCUCUCCGGGCCUAGGCUCCUUCUCUCUCUUUUGAUAUAUAUAUAUAUAUAUAAUAUACUAGUAUAUAUAUAAAAUUGAGCUCUAUAUAUGUUUAAAUAUACAAAGUCAUUGGUGCUUGUAAGUUUCGGCCCUUGAAUUAAAGAAUGUGCGAGUUAGGAUGAUUGGGCCCCUAGGGUUGAGUGGGGUGGUUGCGUUGAAUAGUAUAAAUAUGAACGAGUGAAAGCGAUCAAGCAUAGAUCUAACGGCUAAAAAAUUUAUAAGACCAAGUGCUGGUGCUUUUACAAGCCACCAUAAGCCGCGACUUAUAUAUAUAUAUUGAGAGAAGAGAGAUGAAUGAGAUGAGCAGGGCUUGUUUAUUGCUCUCCUCCGUGCAUCUCUGAGCCGUUUCUCGAUGCAUGGAGUUUCGAAUCUGACAUCGGCUCUAUUAAACUGUGAUCUAACGAUUUGUAAGUUUAUCUAGAAAAUAAUUUGUUGUGAUUUAUGUCUAAUAUCAGUUUACCUAGCCAUCGAAAGGAUUCAAAAAUCAAUAAUUUUUCAACAGCCUGAAAAUAAAAAUCCUAUAAAAAGUGGUGAUAUCAGCACUAAAAAUUUUCGAUGAGAAAAUAUUGAAUCUUAUUGAGAUAGUAUAAAAAUUUUGUAUCAAAUUUCAUUGAUUUGAAACUUCAUACACCGUUAAACAUUGAAAACGACAGAUAUUCAACCAAUUAAAAAUUAUGGAUUUUUGAAUCCUUAUCGGAUCACUAGUGUAACAUGAUAGUCGAAAAUAUGCAUCAAAAAAUAUUUAUCUAGAAACUUAAAAUGCCUAGAUCAAAGUCUAACGGAGCCGAUCGGUCGAUUCGAAAAUUCCGAUCACGAAAAGGGCUAUGGCACAGGAGGCCUCUCGUUCGCUCCUGAGAGUUAUCAAGGCAGCUCUGCUUAUAUUAAUAUAAUAUAUAUAUAUUAUAUAUAUAUAAAUAUAAGAGAGAGAGAGAGAGAGAGAGAAGAGAAGAAGAGCACUGUGGUGAGAGAGAGAGAGAGAAGCUAGCCACUAUACUAUCGGUAGCACGUGAGCGCUCCGGCUAGCCAGUUGUUUUCAUGAUGCGGCUCCAAAUCGACGAUCGCUCUGUUUAAACUUGAUCUACUACUUAAAAAGUAUUUAUGAAAACUAAAUUUCAUAAUUUUGUCGAGUACCAUUUACCUAUCAAACAGUAAGUAAAUGAAACGGUUUGAAAUAUAAAAUCUUAAUAAAAACAUGAUAUAAAAGAAUUUAAAUUCAAGAUCAGAUAUACGAUCUUAGCUCUAAUAGAUUAAAAAAAUUGUUCUUAUAAAAUUUUCCGGAUUGAAUGUUUUACACCGUUAAACUCUCAAAACACACCCGGCCCCUUGGUUUCUACCACUCGGCAUGUAAAAUUGUCAAUUUUGAGAUCUUUUGACACGAUGUCAAAUGAUGGUCGAAAAAAAUCUGAAAUUUAGUUUCCAAAUCUUUCAAUAGUGUAGAUCAAGUCUAACGGAGCAUCAUCGAUUUAUAAGACCGCAUCAUGAAAAAAACUUGGUAGCUGGAGCGCUCCGUGCUAACGAUAGCAUGGAGUAGCUACUAUGCAUCGGAAGCCACGGUAGCUUUCGUGCUCAAGCCGUUUUCGAUGUUGCGACUUUCGAAUCGCGAGCGGCUCGUUAAAACUUGAAUCUAGAGUCUUUGGACGUACCUAGCAAAAUAAAUUUUAUUAUUUCGAUAUCAUUUGCCUAUGAUCGAAAUUGGGUUAAAAUCAACAAAUUUUAAAUGGUCGCUAGUGAGCCGUUUGCAAGUUAUAACGGUGUAGAAAUAUCCAAAUCACAUGAAAUUUUGAUAGAAAAUUUUUAUACUAUAUAAAACAAGAUCAAUAUUUUGAUUUUAAAAUUUAAUAUCAUAUUAUUACAUUUAUUGUAAGAUUUUUAUUUUCAGCCGUUGAUUUGAGCCCUUCGUUCACUAGGCAAAAUGAUAUCGUAAAAUCAUAAAAUUUAUUUUCUAGGUACUUCAAAUCCUCUAGAUCAAGUUUAACGGAGCCGAUCGACAAUUCGAAAGUCGAACAUCGAAAAUGAGCUGGAAAGCACGGAAGGCCGUGCUUCAUGAUACCAUAGUAGCCUUACUCUCUCUCUCUCCUCUCCUUCUCUCUCUCUCUCUCUCUUCUCUAUAUAUAUAUAUAUAGAGUAGGGCUACUGUACUAUUAGGAGCACAGCAGUCCUUGUGCUCCUAAAUUCUUAACCGCCCAUCAAAUUUGAUGGGUGGUUAGGGUAAAAGAAAGAAGAGAAAUUGAAGAUAAAUUCAAAGAGAAGAGAAAUUGAGAAACCCAAUUUCUCUUCAAUUUCUCUUUUCUUUUUCAUCCUAACCACCCAUCAAACUUUAUGGGCGGUUAAGAACUUAGGAGCACAAGGGCUGUUGUGCUCCUAAUAGCACAGUAGCCCUACUCUAUAUAUAUAUAUAUAAUUGAGCUAGAAUGUUAUCAGUAGCAAAUGGGCUCCGUUGCCAUCCAUUUUGUUUUCGAUGAUAGAACCUCCAAAUCGACUAUCGGCAUCAUUGAACAUGAUUUAUACCACCUGAAGCAUAUAGAAAUCAAAUUUCAUAUUUUUCCGAUAUUGUUCUCUUUUCCAUUAAGUGGACACAAAAAUGAAUAACUGAAAAUAAAUAUCCUUUAAAAACUGAUAAUAGGAGUCUUGUAAUCAAGAUCAAGAAAUAGAUCUUAUUCUAAAUAGUUUAAAUUUUUUCUAACCAAAAUUAAUUGAUUUAGAUAUAUUUAUGCCAUUAAAUAAGAAAACAUCUCAUAUUCACCAUUAAAAUUAUAAAUUUUGAAAUUUUUUGAUCAUUAGGUCAAUAAUGUAGAAAAGAUUUGAAAUUUGGUUUCUAAAUAUUUCAGAUGAUAUAGAUUAUGUUCAAUUGUACCAAUCGUCGAUUUGGAGGUUCCAUCAUCGGAAACAAAUGGGUGGCACCGGAGUCUAUUUGCCACUGAUAAUAUUCCGGCUUAACUCUCUCUCUCUCUCUAUAUAUACCAGAAGCCAUCUCGAUCUGCAAGGCAAUAGAGCGAAAGAUGAGAGACCCUUUCUUUCUUUGAUCCGCUUUGAUCCGUCAAAAAUUCGCUUAUGUCCUGAUCCGCUCCUAAUAGAAUAGCGAACUGCCAAGACAAGGGAGCGAAAGAUAAGAGACCUUUUUUUUUAUUUUUGGCCUGCUCCAAUCCGUUAAAAAUCCGCUUGCCCUAACCCGCCCCCAAUAGAACAACGAUUGAGGGUCAAAAUUACUACAAAAAUUAAUUCGUUUCGGAUCCAUCCCGAUCCGACAAGAAACGGAGCAAGACCUGCACCCUGUUCGCAUCCCUAGGAACCAGUCCCGGAGGCGUUAGGGCCCGAGCAGCUGCAACACUCCUCACAGGUCGGGGCCACGCCAGGCCGACCGGUGGGGCAGUCGACCCGUAACGGCCCAUGACACCGGGGCAUGCCGGCAUGACACAAGUACUGUAGCACUCAUGCUGCACAAGGGCUGCCAGACUCAGACGUCGUUUGUUGCAACUUCCACGAGCCGGCCAGCAGAAUUUUACACCCUCUCAGGCUGAGGUAACUUCCCUUUGAAAUAUCCAAUCAUAGUGAGACACUUAAUAAUGUAUUGAAAUUACGAGGCAUGAUUUCCCAAUGGACAGUAAAAGAGUCACAAAGAGUGCCGAUAUUGAUACAGCAAAUUGUUAUCCUUAUAUUUGAUAAAUUUUAAUGUCACACUUUCAGCUCGCAAAUCGGCUCUAAUAUCACAUACAAUAAUCUGACUUGUUUGCACUAAGAACUCAUGAAGUUCAAAUUUCUGAUCCAAAACUUUUAAGUCUAAUUACUAUUUUAAAAGCUUUCGGUUUAUAAGUAUGCAUAUGCAUAAUUCUUUUUCCAUCCCAUAUAGGAUUACUAAUGUGACAACUCGGCCCACUAACGAUUAUUAAUAUUAGAGUAUUCCUAGUUCUUAUAUUCUUAUGUGUAAUUUUUUUGUUAGUGUUGUAGACUUUUUUUCAUCCAAUGUGAAAUUAUUUGGGCGUUACAGACUUUGAUGUCUUCGUCUGGGCUAAAUCUAAUCACGCACAUUGACCAGAAUCUUCAGAAAACGUAAAAUUCUAAAGAUACCUCUUGUAGGUAUUAGAGGUAAUUAACAUUUAGCUCAGAUAUCAAAAAAAAUGAAUAAACCCACUAACACUAAUAAUUCGUUGAAUCCAAACCACUGGUUAAAAAUAUUUAUGUCCAAUUAUUAAUAUUAGAAUUUUUUAUUUUUAUAUUUUCACACACAUUUUUUUUCAUCCCAGAUGGAACUAUUGUAGUGUUACAAUUAAAAAUGCACAUUUUCUCCGAUAUUUUUGGUGCGUAAAACCCAAGACAUAGGAAUCAUAUUUACAAUUUUCUACCUCUAAAUUUAUAUAAUUACAAGUCCCCUUAUAAUUUCUCGAGAUCAAUGAACAAAAAAAAUGGUGGCAUCACACACGAAGACGAGGAAUAAAUUCAAGGAAACAGUGGGAGAGCUCAUAAGUAGAUCCCACACGUGCCAAAGUUUUAAAAUUCCUUUUUUAUAAACGGAAAAAAUUGAAACAUUUGUAUUUAAUUUAAUCCAUUGCAUCAACGAAUCUUUGUAACUACAAUAAUAAGUGAUAGGCUUAUAAAUACUCUGUUUUUGCCAAAGAAACAGUUGUGAGAACGCUUGUUACUAUAGCAAUUAACAGGGUUAACAGUUUUUCAAUUUGAUCCCCAAUCUUUGUUUUUUUUCGUUUUUAGGUCUCUGACCUUUAUAUUUAAUUUCAGAUAGAUCCUAAUUAUUCAAAUUCACGCUAAUUUUAAUAAAAAAAAAAGGGCCACAUAGACUCCAAUAAUACUUUGCCUAUUCAUAUAAAUCAUAGUCAUGAUCUAAUAGCCUCUUUUCAAUUUAACUUUCACACCAAAAUUGAAUGUUCUAAAAAUCACAAUAAACUUCGCAUGCAAAGUCAAAGUCAAGGUUGUCGUAAACGCAUAAAAAAACAUUAAUGGUGACGAAAUUGGGCGUGGAAAGAUAGGCGUGCAUAUGAAAAAAGGACAGUAGGGAACCAAAGUAAAAGAUUUGAAAAAUGCUAGAGAUUAAUAAUAAUACAAUAAAUUCUUAAGAUUAAGGAUCUACUUGCAAAAAAUAAAAAAGUUUGGGUUUGAAGUUAAAAAAAUGAGGUAACGGUUUGGGACCGAAGUUGUAAUUAUCCGUAAUUAAUAUGUAGAAGUUAGGGAAAGAUCAAAACAAAAUAUCUCUAACAACUCUCUUAAGUACUCUUGUUAAAAGCUUCUUUUUUUUUUUUCCCUGUUGUAUGAAAGCGUGUCUAAAAUCUUUUUCAUUAUUGUUGAAAUUGAAUCCGCAUGUUAAUAAAAUGCAAAAAUACAGUAAUAAUAUUGAUAACAAUUUCGACGUUUUAUUCAACAACAAUAACGACACAAGUUAAAAACUAUAUUUGUCCAAUAUUUCCUCCGUUACAAUCUAAUUAAAAAGAUCUAAAGGCAAAUUAAUUCAAAAUAGAAACCGAAAUCAACGUAGAAAUAAAAAUGAAUCAGAAUAAAAAAUGGAAUGACAAAAUUUCUAAUUUAUCUGGUUUAUAAGAGAAAUCAAAAUCAAUAAUCAAAUUAUCAAUCCAUAAGGCAAAUUCCAAUUUAAAAACAAUUAAAUAUUUGAAUUUGUAAUCAUUAGAAAAAAAAAAUUUAUCUUUUUUUUGGCAUUAAAGUUGAUUCCGACAUCGAUAGUCGGAAUACAUGGAGAAAAUAAUUUGGAAGGAUUCGAUUUCCUCGAAAUGAAAACCGGCUGUCCCUAAAGUAAGUGGCAAAGGAUUUGACGGUUGGUACUCGAGACCCAUGUUCGAAUUCUAGUUGAUUCACAUUUCUAGCUAAGUUUAUUUCUAAAUAAAAUAAACGAAACGGAUAGCGUGCUAACUAUCUCUCUCAAAAAAAAAAAAAAAAAAAACCAUAUUAGUGCAGUUGUCCGACGGUUAAAAUAGUUGGUAUCCAAAGUUUCAAGUUCAAAACCUAAUUACAACACAUUUCUAGUUAGGUUUAUUCUCAUAAAAAAAAUAAACAAAGCGAGUAAAUCGCUACCUUUCUUUCUCUCUCUCUCUCUCAAAAAAAGAAAAAAAAAAAACAUUCAAGGUCAAGUUCGCCAUAUUUUAAUGAGCAUACGGUAUGCUGUUUACCAUGCAAACACGGCAAUCACAAGUUUCUUUAAUAUACGGGUAGAGAAAAUGAAUUUGGAACAGAAGGCAGCAGGAAUAAAUCAACUAGAAAAAUAAGAAAAUAUAUAUCUAUAUAGCUUCGUGUUAAGAGAAGUACAUCUCAUUUUUNCCCGACGGAUUUUAAAAAUCCAUAUCCAAACCCGAACCCGACCAAAAAUCCGAAACCCGAACCCGAACCCGAACCCGAAAAUUUAAACCCGAAACAAUUAUUUCUUUUUUCAAUAUUUCAAAAUAUAUUAUAUUAAACCUAAAUUUUUAAAAUACAAAUUCAAAUAUAACAUCAAAUUUUUAUAUAUAUAUUAUAUAUAAUACAAAAUAAAUUCGGGUUCGGGUCGGGUUCGGGUUCGGGUCGGGUACAAUCAAAAUCCAUAUCCGAAUCCAUAUCCGUCGGGUUUCUAUUUUUGAUAUCCAUAUCCGAAUCCAUAUCCAUAUCCAUCGGAUAUAUUCGUUUCAUUCGGGUUCGGGUUCGGAUAAAAUUUCGGGUAUCCAUACCCAUUGACAUCCCUACAACAGAUAGAAUCUGAAUAAUACAAAAUAAAGCGUAACCAAUCAAGAGGGAAAAUAACCAAAAUUACAUCUUAAAAGUGUCCAAAAUCAGAAUAUGAUGAUAAGGAAUUGUAGAGGGCUCAGGAAUAAUGACAAGACGGAGUAAUGGUUGUGGGGCAACCGAAAAACACUAUACUUGAUCUACUUGUUGCCACAUAAUGAAUGGUAUUGAAGCGAAUCAUAGGUCUAAGAAAUAAAUCGAAUACUCAAAACUCUCACAAAUUUAUAAAUAUUUGUUUAACUCGAAUGCAAGCAUCAUGUUUGCUAAUAGUAGCUAUUUUCUAUGAGAUUCGUAUCCUAUCCUACCAAUUCCAAUUUCACUAAUAUAAGUUGCCAAUGUAGAAUAGAGAACUCUCAAUUUCUCAGAAUAUUAGGUUUUCACAGCGAACUAAUUCCCAACAACUUCGACUGUUUUGUCCUAUGAUUUGAGAAUAAUUAAGUACAAUAAAAUGGCUUUGAGAUGACAUAUAAUUAAAGGUGAUCUCCCGAAUAGGUCAAACAAAAUUCAUAAUCACCACCAACCUAGCUACGGAAAAAGCACUUCCAUUUCUAGAAUGUGAAAUUAAGCAUACUUUACACAAAAAGAUUCGUACAUAAAUAAAAAGUAAUAAAUAAAAUUAAAAGCUCCUCACAUCUCCCUGGAAAUGCACUUCCAUCUCCAGUACAGAUCAAAACUAAAUUAGCCAUACUUUUAUACAUACACACAUUAACAUACACACAUUAACAUAUAUAUAUAUAUAUAUAUAUAUAUAUAUAUAUAUAUAUAUAUAUAUUAGUCUACAGAGCAAUGUUUUAAAAUUUAACCGAAAUAAAUUUUUAAAAUCUAAAAGUUUAAAAUCAGACGAUUUCUAAAUUCUACGGAAGUUUAUAAGCAUGCACCUGAUGAUGCUCACGUCCUUAGAACGUUACUGGCCGUCCCGAUCCGGCCCGUUAGAGGAGGUGGCGGAGGAGCGUUGGCUGUGGUGGAUGGCCCGCGGGCGGUAGAUGGGCCAGGACUGGUGGGCCCCGGGACCCUCCUGCGGAUCCGGCGGCUCCGAUUUCACCUCCGCCAUCGCCGGCGGCGGAGGAUCCUCGCCGUCGUCUUCUCGGGACCGCUUUAUCCCGAUUGACACGCCGAAGAGCCGAGGGCUUGGGGUCCCUUCCUCCUCCGCCUUCACCGGAUCCUCCUCUUCCUCCGCCUCAUCCACCGCCUCCUCCUCCUCCUCCUCCUCCUCCUCCUCCAACGCAGCGGCGGCGGCGGCGGCGGCGGCGGCGGCGCUGGACGGCAUGAGCUCUAGCAUCGGCGCCGCCUCCGGCGGCGGCGGGGCCGGCGACGAGGAGUCGGAGCCCGGUUGCUGGCUCGCGGCGUACUUGGACAUGAGGAGGAGGAUGUUGUUGCAGAGGUUCUUCAUCUGGCCGAGCUCGCGGGAGAGCCGCGAGUUCUCCCCCCGGAGCCUCUCGUUCUCCUCGUGCAGAUCCCCGGCGCCGCCCGAUCCCGACGUCGACGGAGCCGACGCAGCCGUCAGGGGCGGCGGCGGGGGCGGCGGAGGCGCCCCGGGGGACGAGUUCGACGAGAGCACCUGCUCCUCCCCCGAGAUCGUCGGCGAUCCCGUGUGGGUCACCGGCACCGCCACCGGUAUCGCCGCCGCCACCGUCACCUGCGCCGCCGAGGGCGCUGCGGCACCCGCCGCCGGCGGGGUGAUCUUCCGGCGGUGGAUGUCGCAGAGGAGGCGCCGCUCGCCUCGUCUGAAGCAGUCGUUGGCGAAUUCCCACCGAUCCGGCACGAUCUUCCUAAAUCCCUGCCAAAAGAAGCCACGCCAAAUCCCAAUCAGAGGCCAAAACGAGAUCGAGAUCUACAAGAUGGACGGAUCAGGGGGCAGAGACGGAGGAGAUGCUCACGUAGGUGUUGAGCUGGCGCACGAAGCUGGAGAAGUUGUUGUGCUUGAAGUACUUGGGGAGGAGGUCGCGGGCGAACUCGGCGGGGCGCCACACGAUGAAGGUGGACCCGUCGUCGUUCCACGAGAUCACGUCGUCCACGGCGGGGUCGUCCACCAGCUGGUACGUCUUCGUCAGGAACGGCGUCGGCAGCGACCUCUGCCCCCCCGCCGCCGCCGCCGCCGCCGACGUCGUAUCCCCCGCCUGCUCCCCCACCGGCGGAGGGGCCAUCGCCGCCGCUCCUCCGCCGCCGCCGCCGCCCAUCUCCGCCGCGAGAUCCGAUCCGAUCAAACCCUCGACCUCAAUCUCUUCUUCCUCUUCGUCCUCCUCCUCCUCCUCCUCCUGCUCGAUCGGAUCGGAUCGGAGGGGAUUCGUCGUCUUCUUCGGAAGCGUCGAGAAGCAACGGGGAGAGGAGAGGAGAGGAGAGGAGAGGAGAGAAGGUUGGGAAAGGAAGGAUUUAAAAGCUUCUAGAAGGUUCCGUUCCGGAUGUGCAAUAUUAAAUGGUGGGGAGGAGGGGAGAGCACGGGCAGGGGAAUUGGGGGAGAGAGAGAGAGGGAGGAAAAGGGGGAGGAGGAGAAGGCGACCCACCACCCGUUACGAGUAGUUACCUCACAAAGCUCUCCCUGCGGACGUUUCCGGGGAAACGCUUCUUCAUGCGGGUUCCUCCCACCGCUCCUCGAUGAUGAGUAAAAAAUUGCACCGAGACCCCUCAACAACAGGCCAUUCUGAAUUUGUACCCUCAGUUUUUGAUCACCUUUUCUAGAAGCUGUUUGUUUCUCGGAUAUUUCAUAAAAAUAAUAUUUUUAGCUAAGAAAUUACCUUUUUUACUCGUUUAUUUUUAAAAUAAUAUUUUUCUAAAUUCUUUCUACUUAUUUAUGAAAACAUUUUUUAUUUUAAAUAUUUUUUAUUCGAAAAACACAAACUAUGGAAAGGAAUUUUUUUUAUGAAAUCAUUUUUCAUGAUUUUUUGAAAAAUCAAAUACCCAUAUUAAAUAAUUUUAUGAGUUUUCAUACGUACUACACAUAUAAUUUAUAAUUAUUAAAAAUAAUAUUUUUGAUAAUUUUCACAUGAAAAAUGACAAAAUUAUUGUUAUUAAUAUGGAUAUUUAUCAAAAUAAUUUGUCACAUCUUUAUUAAAAUGUGAAUGUUAAAAUACUUAUUAUAAUAGAAAUAAAAAUUAAAUGAAAGAGCGUCUUAGCAAACUAAAAUCUUUUUUUUUCUUUUUGAUCCCUAAAAUUCUUUUUCAUGGACAAUCACUAAUCUUUAGUAUUUAUUUUACAUAACUCUAACAAAAAUAUCAUACAGUUAUAAGAUUUCGUAUUUAUGUGGCUAAAUUUUAUUAUAAUUAAUAAUAUUUUUAAUUGCCGGACUUAAUUAAAUCAAAUAAUAAAGAUUAACAAUCUGAUAUGGGGGAAAAGAAAAAAAGAAAAUAAAUAACAAAAGUGGAGAGAGAACAAUGGAGAGAGAAAGAGAGAGAAUUAAUGAUGAGGGGGCCAUUUGAAAUGUGUGCGGAGUUGAGGGGGUUCGCCUUACAAUUUCGCCUUCGAGGAAUGAUGAUACGUACAAUACAAUGGGGAUAGAGGUUUGCGUAGGGAGUAGGGGUGGAAACGAGCCGAGCUCGAGCGAGCUUAUGUCGGCUCAAAUUCGGCUUGAAAUUAAUUUCGAGCCUAAAUCUAGGCUCAAGCUCGGCUUGAAAUUAAUUCGAGCCGAGCUCGAGCGAGCCUAAUUUCGAGUCGAGCCGAGCUCGAGCUCUAAACGAGCCGAUUGAAAUUCUCGACAUUAUAUAAUCAAUAGUUUAAUUUUUAUAGAAUAUUACCUACAAUUUGAUGCAACAUAUCCAAUAGUUCAAAAUACAAAAUAAUUGAAAGAAAUAUGAGCUAGGGUGACUGCCUGACCAGGUGAGGGUCAAAGAGAAAGAGAGAAAGAGAGAGGAGAAAAAAAAUAGAAAUUUGAAAAUUUGAAUAUUAUCAUGUUUUAGAGUUAUGUACAAAAGUGAAAGUCUGAAAGAGAGAGUGUGUUAUGUAAAUUUAGAGUUGGGUUCAAUUGCACUGUUGUACUUAUUGGAUUUAUUUUAUGGGCCAACAAUAAUGGUCCAAAUUAAAUUAAAGCCUAUAUAUAAUUAAAAUACAUUAUAUAUAUAUAAUUAAAAUACAUUUUAUAUAUAUAUAUAUAUAUAUAGUA